rnacentral:lncRNA from 1 species
UUAUUAACAUUUCUCAACCUAAACCUUUAGAUUUGAAAUGAAGCAUAAUAUUCUCUCCCUUAAUUAUAGCAAAACAACUAUUCCAUCCUUACAACUUUGCAAAGAAUGACUCUUGUUUUCUAUAAUUAAUAUUGCCAACUUGCAAUACUUUCCUUAAUAAUCAUACAAUCAUAACAUUUAUGCUCCCACUAUCAUGAUGAUUAUUAUAAAACAUAACACUUAUGCUCCCACUAGCUUCGACAUGUAUUCAUAAACAUCUUUAACUUUCAGAAAAACAAUACCUAUUGAGUUUCUUAAGUCCAUGUUACUAAUACUUAAUGCUUUGAUAAUCCUUCAUCAAGGCUUCUUGAACUUAUACACCUUUGCCUUAGAUAGUUUAUAUGUGUGUGUAAACAAUUUCCAAACCUCAUAAUUCAAAUCAUGUAAAGAGAUACCGUAACCAUAAUUGAAUUCGAGAAUGCAAUUUUACAAUCACUAUCUUCCUAAAAUCUUUCUUAGUGAAAGCAUUUCCUCACAAUCAUUUUCAUGAAGGAGGAAAUCUUAUGACACUUAGAUUUAAACGGUGUAUGUGUUCCUAUCCAUGUGAAUUUGUUAAAACCAAAGUUUACGACAAAUUCAAACUCAUAUGGACCGAACUUUCUUAAUCUUGAUUUCUUGCCUUAUGGUAGCACAGCUGCCCACCAUGUCUUCCAAGUAGUUAAGCAGCUCACCNNNNNNNNNNNNNNNNNNNNNNNNNNNNNNNNNNNNNNNNNNNNNNNNNNNNNNNNNNNNNNNNNNNNNNNNNNNNNNNNNNNNNNNNNNNNNNNNNNNNNNNNNNNNNNNNNNNNNNNNNNNNNNNNNNNNNNNNNNNNNNNNNNNNNNNNNNNNNNNNNNNNNNNNNNNNNNNNNNNNNNNNNNNNNNNNNNNNNNNNNNNNNNNNNNNNNNNNNNNNNNNNNNNNNNNNNNNNNNNNNNNNNNNNNNNNNNNNNNNNNNNNNNNNNNNNNNNNNNNNNNNNNNNNNNNNNNNNNNNNNNNNNNNNNNNNNNNNNNNNNNNNNNNNNNNNNNNNNNNNNNNNNNNNNNNNNNNNNNNNNNNNNNNNNNNNNNNNNNNNNNNNNNNNNNNNNNNNNNNNNNNNNNNNNNNNNNNNNNNNNNNNNNNNNNNNNNNNNNNNNNNNNNNNNNNNNNNNNNNNNNNNNNNNNNNNNNNNNNNNNNNNNNNNNNNNNNNNNNNNNNNNNNNNNNNNNNNNNNNNNNNNNNNNNNNNNNNNNNNNNNNNNNNNNNNNNNNNNNNNNNNNNNNNNNNNNNNNNNNNNNNNNNNNNNNNNNNNNNNNNNNNNNNNNNNNNNNNNNNNNNNNNNNNNNNNNNNNNNNNNNNNNNNNNNNNNNNNNNNNNNNNNNNNNNNNNNNNNNNNNNNNNNNNNNNNNNNNNNNNNNNNNNNNNNNNNNNNNNNNNNNNNNNNNNNNNNNNNNNNNNNNNNNNNNNNNNNNNNNNNNNNNNNNNNNNNNNNNNNNNNNNNNNNNNNNNNNNNNNNNNNNNNNNNNNNNNNNNNNNNNNNNNNNNNNNNNNNNNNNNNNNNNNNNNNNNNNNNNNNNNNNNNNNNNNNNNNNNNNNNNNNNNNNNNNNNNNNNNNNNNNNNNNNNNNNNNNNNNNNNNNNNNNNNNNNNNNNNNNNNNNNNNNNNNNNNNNNNNNNNNNNNNNNNNNNNNNNNNNNNNNNNNNNNNNNNNNNNNNNNNNNNNNNNNNNNNNNNNNNNNNNNNNNNNNNNNNNNNNNNNNNNNNNNNNNNNNNNNNNNNNNNNNNNNNNNNNNNNNNNNNNNNNNNNNNNNNNNNNNNNNNNNNNNNNNNNNNNNNNNNNNNNNNNNNNNNNNNNNNNNNNNNNNNNNNNNNNNNNNNNNNNNNNNNNNNNNNNNNNNNNNNNNNNNNNNNNNNNNNNNNNNNNNNNNNNNNNNNNNNNNNNNNNNNNNNNNNNNNNNNNNGACUCUCCCAUCUCUUAGAUCUCUUAGGUAAAUGGGGCAGCUUCGUCUCCAAUGCCCUUUCUCUUGGCAAUAAAAGCAAAUUGACUCUUUUGGAACAUGACAUGGAACUACUUCAGACAUUGCCUUUCUCUUAUGAUCAAACUUUUCAAUCAUAGCAUGUCUUUCGUUGCCAUUGUCUAUAUCCAUAGAGGUCUUGAAGGCAGAUUCACCAAUAAACUUUGCUUUUUCUAUUGCGCCAAACCAUUGCUGAUUCAGCAUCAAUAAGCAUAUAGGUGAGAUCUAUAAGGGUCACGUCGCGGUUCAUCAUAUAGUACUCUCUUACGAGCUCACUAUAUGAGUUAGGAAGUUACUGAAGAACCCAAUCAACAGCUAUCUCCUCACCGACAACGGAUCCCAUCAUUCUCAACCUAUCAAUGUGUGACUUCAUCCCUAGGACCUGUGCACAUAAUGGAAGGUUACGUCCUAUCCUACCCGUUCGGCUAACGACCCUCCACUAGUCAAGAGUGCGGUGGGUAAGAGUGGAUACCCAUUCAAUCGCCAUUUUAUAGGCAAUUUCCUUAAACACCCCUUAUAGACCAGCUUCGUGAAUGAGGCCUACUAACGGUAAGACUGACUUUUACUCAUACAUAUAUAUAAUGUUAGACUUUUAAUGUUAUAUAUAGUAUAGGGUGUAUUUUAUACUUUCAAAAUACUAGGUGGUCUAAUUUAACAAUUAUACUUUUAAUUCAAUUAAAUUGUAAACCUAAACUUUUAUGGAUUUAUUAAACCUCUUUUAAUUAUACACCUUAAUUAAUUAAUAAAACCAUAAGGGUGUGAUUUGAACUUUUUCAAAACUAUACUAGAGUUUUAGAAUUUAACAUUCCUAAUUAAACUUUUAAUCAACUUUUAAAUUCCAAAACUUGAGGGCAAGUUUUGAAACAUUUCAACACAUUAGGGUUUAGAAUUUAAAUAUACAUCAAAAUUAAACCAUUUAAUCAAAAUUUAAAUUCCAAAACUUGAGGGCAAGUUUUGAAACCUUUUUCAAAACAUUAGGGUUUCAACUAUUUAAAUUUCAAAACAACAAAACUUUUGGGUUCAAAUUUAAACUAUAAAACCUAAAGGGCAAAAUAUGAAACUUUUCAUAACAACAAGGAUCAAAUAACAAAUAAUUUAAAUUAACAUUUAAUCACAUAAUUAUCCAUAUUUGAUUUAUUUAAUGAUUUCUUGCAAAACAAUUUAUCAAUUUAGUCAAAAUAAUUAAUCAAUUAUCUUAUAAGGAAACAAUUAUCUUAUUAAUUGAUAAAUAUCUUCAAUUAGAUCAAAAUUAUAGUCAAAUAUAUCAUAUAAUCGGAUUAAUAUUGAUCUAACAUGAUAAGGUAACUAUCCCAAUGCAAAAACAGCAAGAAAUCCCGAGAUAACCUCCAUCUGACGAGUUGACUCGUCGAGUCAAGCCUGGACUCGUCGAGUCAGCAUGGACUCGGCGAGUUCAGCUAUGGACUCGGCGAGUCCAGCCUCCAGAAACCCAAAAAACGAAUUUUCCAGUUAUACAAUGCAUCAAUACAAUUGAAACCAAGCUAGGCUCUGAUACCACUGAUGGGUUUUGGUCAUAAGACAUCCUAUGUGCUCAUACAAACCCUAAUGCUUGGAUCUAGGUUUCUCUAUUGUACAUGCUUUGAAUCCAAGACUAUAAACCCUAAUUCUAGCAUUCAAGUAAUCAUAUUAACAUGAGAAUAGGUUUAUAAUGUUACCUUGAUUGUUAUGUAGCAAUAACAAUCCCAAAUCUCCUUGUAUUGACUUUGGAAGGCUUAGAGUCACAAGUGUCACUCCUCUAAUGGUUCACAAACACCAUAAGCAAGAGGAUGAAGAGGAGAGAGGAUGGAGGCUGCCCAAAACGUGUUCUAACCCUAGAAAAGAAGUUCCCCCACGUUUUUGAGCCUUAAGGGUUCUAUAUAUAGUGAGGCUAUUAGGGUUAUCUAACAAGGAAACCCUAAUUUGGUUGCUUAAGCCCUAAGUAACCCAUAGACUCCUUUAAUCAAGCCCUUGGACGAUUUCCUUAUGGGCUUCCCAUAAGAAUUCGUCCACCUCUUGAUUUAAGACAAUCCAUGGCCCAAAUUGUAAUUAUCUUAUAAUUACAAUUCCAGUCCCUUAAGUUUAAUUAAUCUCUUUUAGUCACAAAACUAAUUACCAAUUAAUUAUUGGCUAAUAUUAAUUAAACAAUAUGAUUUCUCCUUUAAUAUAUUAUUCCCAUAAUAUAUUAAUAAUAAUUAUUGACUAAUAUUAAUUACACAAUAUGAUUUCUCCUUUAAUAUAUUAUUCCCAUAAUAUAUUAAUAAAUCAUAUUUAAUCCUUUCUCUCCAUAAUUCAUCCUAUCAAGUUGCUUUGGUGAAGGCAACCCAAAAGGACCAUGCACCAUUGGGUCAAGUACAUACCAAAAUAGUUAUGGACUUAGACACUAAUCCAACAAUUAUCUUCUAGCUUUUUGCAAGUAAAUAAGCAAUUGGAGACUAGGUUGCGAUUUCUAGUGUUAUUUCUCCAUUUGAGGCUUGAAAUGGGUUGCAUGCACGUAAAGGUUGCACCUUUACAUGACUUUUGAGUGUUUAAGGGUUAGACCUAUGAUUUGACUAAGUAGAUCUGACCUCAGGAGUUUGUUUGAGCAAGUUCAUGGAGGAAAAUUGUUGAAACCAUAUGUAGACUCGACGAGUCGGACCGGGUUGCCCCGGGGUUUGACUCCAGUGUUGACCUGGUGAGUUGAGGGGUGACUCAGUGAGUCGAGUGAGGCUUAGAAAGGGAAGAGUCUGUGGGGACGAUGGGACUCGCCGAGUCGUCGUAUGCACUCGGUGAGUCUGGUCAAAAUGGACAGUUGACUUUUGGGUUGACUUUUAGGGUUUGUCAACAAAUGGGCCUUGGCCCUGUAGAGCGGUAGAAUGGUCUUUUACCCUUUUAGGGAUUUGCAUGAAAGAAUAUCCCAAUUUGUGAAGAGACAUUUAUUUAGUGAAAUUUAUUAUUGUGACUAGGCGGAGGCUAGGGCAAUAUUCCGAUAUCGAGAUUUUACCGAGAUUCCCGAGGUGAGUCUUCUCACUAUACUUUACAUAGAGUGGUAAUCAGAGCUAUGUGACAGUGUAUCUUGUAUGCUAUUUAUGUGUUGUGAUUCUAUGUGAUAUGUGAUAUGCAUGAUUCAGAGUUUACAGAGUUAGGACCAAUGGGUCCAUAGAGUUAUGGGACCAAGAGGGUCCCACAUAGAUAUUUGACUAGAGGGUCAUCAGAGUUAUUGCCUUGAGUGGCUGAUAUGUGUUUAUGUGGUAUUUUGGGGAACUCACUAAGCAUUUAUGCUUACAUAUUUUUGUUUAUGUGUUUCAGGUACCAGUGAUGAUCACGGGAAGGUGCCGACAUGAUCUGUACACACUCAUGGAGCUUUUGUUUAUAUGAUUCUGGGAUAUGUUUUUCUAUGAUGACAGUGAAUACAUUAUGUUUAUUAUUGUUUUAUGAAUGAAAGUAUGUUUUAAAAUUGUGAAAAAAUUAUUUGAAAAUUUUGGGUGUUACAAGUUGGUAUCGGAGCCUUGGUUAGAGGGAUUCGGGUGCACCUUCGGGCGUAUCUGAACUCAAACUGAGGAUUUGAGAGAUUUUCAAAUAAAAAUCACAAAAUUUUUCUCAAGGAGUAAAAGUUUCGAAAAUCGGAGAGCAGAGCAGUGUGUACGAUCAGCGAGCGCCCGAACGGUGAUUUUCCCAAAAUACCCUUAUAUUAUGUGUUAUGCGAUAUGAGAUAAUAUGUUAUGCAUGCUAGAGUAGGAUAGGUACUCUUAUUAGGACUUGAGUGGCCUGAUUUGUGAUGCCUUAGCUUACGGGUUUUUCUUCUAGGAGAUGCUUGGGAGUGAAUAGAUAUCAGCGAGGAGCUAUGAGACAUCUGCUGGAGAGUAGACUAUGCAUAGUGAGAGUAGGGUACUUGGGAUUUUGAAUCCAAGGAGGAGGACUUGGGGUGAAUACUAAUGAAGUGUGGACGGUAGUAUUGGGCCCGUACUACUGAAGACAUCAGAUCAGUGUGCAUCCCAAGUAAGAAUCCUUAGGGUACCAGGGAUCGAGUAGGAAUAGGAUAUCGAGUGUGUGUACGCUCGAGCGAGUCUUUGAUAUUUUGUGUUGUAUUUCAGAGAGAUCAUGGUUGGGACACGCCACAGGCUAGGGACUAGCGAGGGGGGUGUGAGCGAUGAGGAGCUCCACCAGAUGAUUCAGGAUGAAGUGGUUGCUGCCAUCCGAGCUAAGAUUCCAGAGAUGUUUGGGUCUAUUAAGACCACGCUGAUUGAGACUUUUGAUGAGAGAUAUGCAGCAGUUACUGAGGCUGCAGCUACCGUAGCUGUUGCUGCUGCCAGACCUCAGGGUGGUGAUGCGUUGCUGUUCUGAGAGUUCUGCAACACGAAGCCACCAGAGUUAGAUAGGACGCAGGAUCUGAUUGUUGUGAUGAGAUGGGUUUCUGAUAUUAAGGGAUGCUUCUAUACGUGUUCAUGUCCGGAGCAUCUGAAGGUUCGGUUCGCGCUGAACUAACUUCGCUUGGGAGCGAAGGACUGGUGGAUGUUUGUUACAGCGCACUAUUCGCCUUCUGAUCUUGCUGCGGUGACCUCGGAGAGGUUGACCGCCAUGUUUCGCGAUGAGUAUGUUCCCUCGGUGGAGAGGGAGCGACUGGACCUAGAGUUUCUGACCCUCAAGCAGGGUACUGAGUCUCUUACUAUGAUCACCAGGAUGUUCCAUGAGAGAGCGAUGUUCUUCCCUGAGCAUGUAUCUACCGAGCAGGCACGUAUUAGUCGGUAUCUGAGUAUUAUGAGGAGGGACAUGCGAGAGUUCGUGGUGAACUCAUCGUAUCGGACAUUUUCCGAGCUCCAGGAAAAUGCUUGGAAGAGGGAGAUAGAACUGGAGACUCAGGCUAGAGAGGAGGUGGAGUCUCAGGGGAGGGAUCGGCGGUCGGCUCAGUCCCAGCCGACAGCCAAGCGGGUUAAGCCCGCCGAUUCGAGAUCAGGGAACCAGAAGGGCCGCACUUAUGGCAAGUGCGGAAAGGGUCAUGAGGGGGUUUUUAGAGCAGGGUCUUGCUACAAGUGUGGCAAGGAGGGGCAUAUGGCCAAGGAUUCCCCAAGGGGUUUGCAGUCUAUUUUCAAUGCAACCAGACCGGACACCGGAAGGCCGAGUGUCCGCAGUUGUGGGGGUCAGCCCAAGGAGCAUCACAGGGAUCUGCCCCUUCUACCGUUCGAGCUACAGAGAGUUGGCCAGUAAAGGCCGUGGCGCCAAAGGCUCACGGGAGAGCCUUCUAGUUGACAGCGAAGGAGGUCCGCGCAGCGCCAUAUGUUGUGGCUGGUAUGUAUUCUUUCAUCUAUUUAUUUUGAGUUUGUGGUGUUAUGCUUAUAUUAUGAUAUGCGUAGGUACAUUUCUUGUGAGUUCUGUACCUGCUUUGGUGUUAUUUGACUCGGGUACGAGUCGGUCUUUUGUUUCGUUAGCCUUUAGUCAGCACAUCAGUAUCUGUCGAGAGGCGUUGAGUCGACCUUUGCGAGUUUCCAUAGCUAACGAGUGAGUAAUGUAUGCCACUGAUGUGAUUCGAGGAUGUGUACUCGAGAUCUUCGACGUUGAGUUUCCGAUUGAUUUGGUCCCGAUUACUAUGGGAGAUGUCUGUGUCAUCGUGGGCAUGGACCGGUUGAGUAGAUUUGGAGCGAUUAUCGACUGCGAGCGACAGCUGGUGGCCAUACGAGACCCUAGUGGGAGAGUUCUUUUGGUUUAUGGCGAGGGCACCCGUUCUGGGUCGGCAUUUUGUUUAGCCACUAGAGCGAGGCAGAGUCUAUAGUAAGGCUGUAGUGGGUUUGUGGCUUAUGUGGUGGAUACGAGAGUAGGUGCAGAGAGACCGAGGUUGGUUGAUGAGGUCUCGAUAGUGCGUGAGUGCCCAUAUGUUUUCCCAGGGAGUUGUUGGGUGUGCCUCCCAAGAGGCAAGUGGAGUUCCGUAUCGAUUUGGUUUCGGGGGCAGUGCUUAUCGCCAAGGCGCCCUAUCGCCUUGCGCCUCUAGAGAUGCAUGAGUAAUCCUCGCAGCUUCAGGAGCUGCUGGGGAAGGGGUUUAUACGACCGAGUAACUCGCCAUGGGGAGCACCGAUCCUUUUUGUCAGGAAGAAGGAUGGUUAACACUGGAUGUGCAUUGAUUACCAGGAGUUGAACAAGCUGAUGGUCAAGAACCGUUACCCCUUACCGAGGAUCGACGAUUUUUUCGAUCAGUUGCAGGGAGCCUCUUGGUUAUCCACGAUUGAUUUGAGGUCUGGAUAUCAUGAUAUGAGGGUGCGUGAUGAGGAUAUCUAGAAGACAACGUUCAGGACUCAUUACGGGCAUUACGAGUUCGUGGUGAUGCCUUUCGGGCUCACCAAUGCACCGGCGGCAUUCAUGGAUCUCAUGAACAGGGUGUGCAUGCCGAUGUUGGAUCGUUCGGUGAUCAUGUUCAUUGAUGAUAUAUUGGUAUAUUCGAGAUCCAGAGAGCAGCAUGAGGAGCAUUUGAGGGAGAUCCUCGAAGUUCUGAGAUCAGAGAGGUUUUAUGCCAAACUCCAAAUGUGAAUUCUGGUUAUGAGAGGUCCAGUUUCUAGGACACCUCAUCAAUCAGAAUGGGAUAUUGGUCGAUCUGGCCAAGAUUGAGGCGGUGAUGAUUUGGGAGGUGCCGAAAUCCCCCUUGGAGAUCAGGAGUUUCCUGGGGUUGGCCGGUUAUUAUCGGAGAUUCAUCCAGAAUUUCUCCAGGAUUGCAAUUCCUCUCACAAGACUAACUCGGAAGGGCGUGACUUUCAGUUGGGGCCCGGAGUAGCAGACCUCAUUCGAGACACUUCGGCAAAGAUUGUGCGAAGCCCCAGUGUUAUCCCUUCCGGAGGGAAUGGAGGACUUUGUGGUAUAUUGUGACGCGUCGAUAUAGGGACUGGGUGCGGUGCUGAUGCAGAGAGGGCAUGUGAUAGCAUACGCAUUGAGGUAGCUGAAGCCUCAUGAGACGAGGUAUCCUACUCACGAUUUGGAGUUGGGGGCUGUGGUGUUCACCCUCAAGAUCUGGCGUCACUAUUUGUACGGAGUCCAGUGUACCAUUUACACAGAUCACAAGAGCUUGAAGUAUUCGAUGGAUCAUCCCAACCUGAAUAUGCGCCAGAGGAGAUGGUUGGAUGUGGUAAAGGAUUAUGAGUGUGAUAUCCUGUACCACCUAGGCAAGGCGAAUGUUGUAGCCGAUGCCUUGAGUCGCAGGGUGGGGAGUGCCCUGAUACGGGAUGUUUGUUUGAGAUUGACAGUGAUGACUCCGUUGUUGGACACCAUUCGGGAGGCCCAGGUAGAGGCCAUGAGACUGGAGAACUGCAAGCGAGAGUGGGUGAUCGGACAGAUAUCUGAGUUCGUUGCCGAUAGCCGGGGGCUUAUGACUUUCCAGGGCCGGAUUUGGGUGUCAUUUAAGGGCGAGGCACAUGCCAUUUUGAUGGAGGAGGCGCACAUGUCGAGGUUUUUAAUCCAUCUCGGGGCCACUAAGAUGUAUUUGGACCUGAAGAGAGACUAUUGGUGGCCCUGUACGAAGAGGGAUGUGGCGUGGUUUGUAGAGAGGUGUUUGACCUGUCGCAGGGUUAAGGCCGAGCACCAGUGUCCACAUGGCAAGUUGCAGCCACAUGAGGUUCUCCAGUGGAAGUGGGAAUAGAUUUCCAUGGAUUUUAUCACCAAAUUGCCGAGGACUGCAAGAGGUGUCGAUGCAAUUUGGGUGAUCGUUGACCGGCUGACGAAGAGCGCUCAUUUUCUUGCUAUCAGUGAGAGCUCUUCCGCAGAGAGGCUAGCAGAGGUGUAUGUGAGAGAGGUGGUAUCAUGGCAUGGUGUACCGACCUCGAUUGUGUUAGAUCCAGAUGUGUGUUUCACUUCUAGGUUCGGGAAGAAGUUCCAUGAGGAGUUGGGUACUAGGCUACAUUUCAGUACUGCUUACCACCCACAGACGGACGGACAGAGUGAGCGGACGAUUCAGACGCUCGAGGACAUGCUUUGGGCAUGUGUGUUGGACUUCGGAGGGAGCUGGGACACGUAUCUGCCUUUGGUUGAGUUUUAUUAUAACAACAACCACCAUUCGAGCAUUGGUAUGCCUCCCAUCGAGUUGUUGUAUGGGAGGAAGUGUCGAACUCCCAUCUGUUGGGGAGAGGUAGGACAUCGAGUGAUAGGUAGCAUGGAGAUGGUGCUUCAUAUGACUGAGUAGAUACAUCAGGUCAGGCAGAGGUUGCUGAUGGCUCAGAGUCGUCAGAAGAGCUACGCGGAUAGGCGUCGCUCAGAGCUUGAGUUCCAAGUUGGUGAUUUUGUUCUCCUGAAGGUGUCACCUUGGAAAGGUGUGAUCCGGUUCAGGAAGAGAGGCAAUUUGGGGCCUCGAUAUAUUGGUCCAUUCAGGGUGAUCACGAGGGUAGGCAGGGUAGCGUAUCGUUUGGAGUUACCUACAGAGUUGAGUCAGAGUCAUGAUACCUUCCACAUGUCUCAGUUGAGGAAGUGUAUUGCCGAUGAAUCGGCAGUGGUACCGUUAGAGGGUAUUCAGGUGGAUGCGAGCCUGAAUUAUGUUGAAAGGCCAAUUGUGAUUCGGGAUCGGAGAAUCAAGGUUUUGAGAAACAAGGAGGUGUCCUUGGUGCAGGUUCAGUGGCAGCAUCGGAAGGGGUCCGAGCUGACAUGGGAACCAGAAAUUGAGAUGCGGGAGCAGUAUCCAGAGUUAUUUGCAGAGCGAGACUUCGAGAGUGAAGUAUGAUUCUAGUGGGGGAGAAUUCUAGCAUCCUGAGUUCGGGUAUGUUAAUUUAAUUAUUUAUUUAUUGUUUUAUUGAGGAACUCGACGAGUUGAUGCCUCAACACGUCGAGUAGAGUCUGAUCUAUGGGCGCAUUUUUGCAUACGGACUUGACGAGUCGGGGACCUGAAUCACCGAGUCAGUGCUGAUUAGGAAAACCCUAAUCCGCGGGUUUGGGAGCCUAUUUAAAGACCUUUAUGGCCUUCAUUUGCGGCCACCUUGUUCCAGAGAAACCCUAGGGAGCUGAGAUAGUGAGUUUGAGGGCAAAUGGAGGCUAUUUCUUCAUCUUUUUGUGUGGUUUUUCUUGGAGGAAGAAAGGAGCACAAAUCUAGAGUGUGAAGGGGACUGGAUCUGAGUUAAUCAUCCAGUGAUAUCAUCUUUGGAGGUAUAAUCCUUUCCAUUUCGUGUUAUAUUGAUGGACUUCUUGAUUUUAGGGUUUUUACCCUCAUUUUAUGAAAGAUGUAGUGAGUAUGAGGUCCUUAUUGGGAUUAUGACAUCAGAUUUGGACCAUGAGAGGUCCCUAGAGUCAUUAUCUUCUAGCUUUUUGCAAGCAAAUAAGCAAUUGGAGACUAGGUUGCGAUUUCUAGUGUUAUUUCUCCAUUUGAGGCUUGAAAUCGGUUGCAUGCACGUAAAGGUUGCACCUUUACGUGACUUUUGAGUGUUUAAGGGUUAGAUCUAUGAUUUGGCUAAGUAGAUCUGACCUCAUGAGGUUGUUUGAGCAAGUCCAUGGAGGAAACUCGCCGAGUCGAUAUGUAGACUCGACGAGUCGGACCGAGUUGCCCCAGGGUCUGACUUCAGUGUUGACCCGGUGAGUUGAGGGGUGGNCACAAAGAACAAACCCCCUUUAUUUUUGCGAGAUCUAUCCAAAAAUGAAAAAAUAUUUCAAAAAUAAGAUCAAAUAUUGCUCCAAAGNCGUCGUAUACACUCGGCGAGUCUGGUCAAAAUGGACAGUUGACUUUUGGGUUGACUUUUAGGGUUUGUCAACAAAUGGACCUUAGGCCUGUAGAGGGGUAAAAUGGUCUUUUACCCUUCUAGGGAUUUGCAUGUGUAAGUCCCUAAUCUGCCUAUGUAUCAGUCAGAUCCGUUUGAUGGUGCAGAAUCCCAAUCAAACGGAUGAUGUCAGAUCAAAUAGAAAAGAAUGAGAAGAAGAAAAAUAUGAAUCUUUGUAUGUAUUGAUAUGAAUGAAGAUCCGGAUACAAAAGAUUCACAUACACAUAAAAGCUUCUGUUUCUCUUUGGCCGUAAACUCUCUAGGGUUCAUCAAUCUCUACUCCUCACCCUAACACCUCUAUUUAUAAUAGGGAACAUGGGUCAGAAACAAAUGGGCCGUAAAUGAGUUUACGGUCGUAAGGUGUUUACGGCCGUAAACUCAGCCGUAAACAUGACCAUAAACUCAUAAAUAUUACAGAAAAGUACAACUGCCCAGAAAAGUAAAGUGUAAACCAUAUUUUGACCCAACAAUCUCCCCCUUGGUUUAUAGCUUUNUUGAAGAGACAUUUAUUUAGUGAAAUUUAUUAUUGUGACUAGGCGGAGGCUAGGGCAGUAUUCCAAUAUCGAGAUUUUACCGAGAUUCCCGAGGUGAGUCUUCUCACUAUACUUUACCUAGAGUGGUAAUCAGAGCUAUGUGACAGUGUAUCUUGUAUGCUAUUUAUGUGUUGUGAUUCUAUCUGAUAUGCAUGAUUCAGAGUUUAUAGAGUUAGGACUAGUGGGUCCAUAGAGUUAUGGGACCAAAAGGGUCCCACAUAGAUAUUUGACCAGAGGGUCAUCAGAGUUAUAGCCUNAGAUAGCGCUUUCAGCUUGAGAAUCUUCAGAGAGAACAUCAGAGAGAACAAAUCUUCUGGAUCACUUCAACAGGUACAAAGAUAGUAGCAAACUGAUUGAGGAGGCUUCAAUGUAAUCCGUCACAUAAUCUUCAGUUGCCGCUUUACCUNUUAUAGCCUUGAGUGGCUGAUAAGUGUUUAUGUGGUAUUUUGGGGAACUCACUAAGCAUUUAUGCUUACAGAGUUUUGUGUAUGUAUUUCAGGUACCAGUUAUGAUCGCAGGAAGGCGCCGACAUGAUCUGUACACACUCAAGGAGCUUUUUAUAUAUGAUUUCGGGAUAUGUUUUUCUAUGAUGAUAGUGGAUACAUUAUGUUUAUUAUAAUUUUAUGAAUGAAAGUAUGUUUUAAAAUUGUGAAAAAGUUAUGUAACACUGUAAAAAUUUGAACAAUUUUUUUCACUUUUGAAAAACCAUAAAAUGUCAUUUGUAACCAUAAGUAAAAACAUUGUGUCAACAUUGUAUCAGUUCAAAACCCAAGAUCAAAAUACAUAAACUCCGGUGUGCUUGUGCACGAAUCAUGCCGGCGCCUUCCCGCAAUCAUCACUGGUACCUGAAACACAUAACACACAACACAGUAAGCAUAAAUGCUUAGUGAGUCCCCCAAAAUCCCACUCUAACACAUAAUAGCCACUCGAGGCUGUAACUUUGUUGACCCUCAGGUCAAUAUGUCUCAGUGGGGCCCUCCAGCCCCAACUCUUUGUGGUCCCUCUGGCCAUGACUCUGUGGACCCGAAGGUCCUAACUCUGUAACUCUGAAUCAUGCAUAUCACAUAUCAAAAUGAAUCACAACACAUAAAUAACAUGCAAUUACACUGGCAUAGAACUCUAAAAUACUCUAUCACAUAACUCUGUUACCACACCAGGUAAAGUAUAGUAAGAAGACUCACCUCGGGUAUCUCGGUAAAUCUCUGACUCGGUAAACGCUGGUCUAGCCUCCACCUAAUCAUAUAAAAGAAAUACCCUAAUUAUUAUAGCUCUCAAGGCUAGACUAUGUCCUCUUAUGACGCUUUUAGAAGGGUAAAAGAGCAUUUUACCCCUCUCAUAACUCAAAAGGCCCCACAAUAGACCAUACCCUAAAAGUCAACCCAAAGUCAACUUUCCGGGUUACGCUGCGCGUACCAGAUGUGUACGUUGAGCGUACCCGACUGCAUCUCAGAAACGGGGAACGCCACCUAGUACGCGGCGUGUACUAGGAUUACGCCCGACAUACUCCCCAGCUUCAGCCCUUUAGCUCUUGAGGUCUUAAACAGUUAAGACUCACGUCUAAUUUCUAGAUCUANAUUUCUAGAUCUGACCACAUCUAAGCCUCUUAAUCCAUAAAGUUGAUGACUUUAUGCCUUUGCAUGGCUGAACAAGCCACCAACUCUCAUAAUAUUCCAUCCUCUAACCCUAGAAGGCUUAUUACUCAAUCAUGACCUCAAACUAACACUAAAGAUGGAAACUUUAUGGCUCUAAAUCACUAAUAGCACUGAAAGGGGACAGAUCUCAGACCAUGGAUCACUUUACACUCAUAAAGUCUCCACCUUUGGGGGGUUUUUAGCCCUAGAAAUGGAACAUGCAACAACAAAUCAAAAGAAGAGGAAAGUUUCGAAUUUUAUACGUCUAAGUGUAGCCCCUUGCUCUGUAGAUCUCAGAUCCAAAAUGGCACCUCAAGCUUUAGCUUCCAAGAACUCCUUUCCAUCUUCUUCACUAAGUCACCAAAGCACAAUUAGCUCCAAUAACACUCACACACACUAAGGAUGGUGGGAAGCUCUCUUUUAGGGUUUCACUCACUGAUAUGGAGGCUGAGAAAUGAGCCUUAGCACCCUUUAAAUAGUGCACAAGACGGAUUAGGGUUUUGCACCUGGGCCGGGUACGCCCGGUGUAACUCUGGGUACGCCUAGCGUACCUUGGCGACUCCGCGUCCAAACUAAGCACAUGAUUAUGCGCAGCGUACCCCUUUGGUACGCCCAACGUACUUACUUCCUAAGUUUUCUCCACACAAGGGCUAAUCAUGACUAAUUGACAAAGAAUAAGGGUAAAAGAAACGCACCUGAAUCUCGAGGUGUUACAAUUCUCCCCCACUAGAACCAGACUUCGCCCCUGAAGUCUCAUUCCUCGAACAACUCUGGAUGUUGCCCUCGCAUAUCCGACUCUGACUCCCAAGUCAUCUCGGACCCCUUCCGAUGUUGCCAUUGAACCAAAACCAGAGGCACUUCCUUCUUCCUCAAAACCUUGANUCCGAUCCCUGAUCGCCACCGGUCUCUCAGCAUAAUUCAGGCUCGCAUCCACCUGAAUAUCCUCCAAUGGCACCACUGCCGACUCAUCGGCUAUACACUUUCACAACUGCGACACGUGAAAGGUGUCAUGAAUCUGACCCAACUCUGCAGGUAGCUCCAAACGAUAAGCUAACAUGCCCACCCUUGCGAUCACUCUAAACGGCCCAAUAUACCGGGGUCCCAGCUUGCCCCUCUUCCUGAAUCGGAUCACUCCUUUCCAAGGAGAUACCUUCAGGAGCACCAAAUCACCGACCUGAAAUUCGAGCUCAGAUCGUCGCCUAUCAGCAUAACUCUUCUGGUGACUCUGAGCGGUCAACAACCUCUGCCUGACCUACUGGAUCUGCUCUGACGUCUGAAGCACUAUCUCUGUACUACCCAUCACACGCUGCCCCACUUCUCCCCAACAAAUGGGGGUCCGACACCUCCUCCCAUACAACAGCUCAAAGGGUGGCAUACCAAUGCUCGAAUGAUGGCUGUUGUUGUAGGAAAACUCCGCCAAGGGUAAGUACGUGUCCCAACUCCCGCCGAAGUCCAACACACAUGCCCGGAGCAUAUCCUCGAGCGUCUGAAUUGUCCGCUAGCUCUAUCCGUUAGUCUCUGGGUGGUACGCGGUACUGAAAUGCAGUCUAGUACCCAAUUCCACAUGGAUUUUUUUUCCAGAAUCUAGAGGUGAAACGCACAUCUCGGUCUGAGACAAUCGAGAUCGGCACUCCAUGUUGUGAUACCACUUCCCUCACAUACAUCUCUGCGAACCUCUCUGCAGAAGAGCUCUCGCUAAUAACGAGGAAAUGAGCGCUCUUUGUCAACCGGUCUAUAAUCACCCAAAUUGCAUCGACGCCCCUCGCGGUCCUUGGCAAUUUGGUGAUAAAGUCCAUGGCAAUUUGUUCCCACUUCCACUCGGGAAUCUCUAACGGCUGCAACUUGUCGUGCGGUCUCUGGUGCUCGGCCUUAACCCUGCGACAGGUUAGGCACCUCUCCACGAACCAUGCAACGUCCUUCUUCAUACAGGGCCACCAAUACUCCCCUUUCAGGUCCAAAUACAUCUUAGUGGCCCCGAGAUGGAUCGAGAACUUCGAUCGAUGAGCCUCUUCCAUCAAAAUGGUACGCGUUCCGCCCACAUGCGGCACCCAAAUCCGGCCCUGAAACGUCAUAAGCCCCCUACCAUUGGUAACGAACUCCGAUACUUGCCCGAUAACCCGCUCUCUCUUCUGGGUUUCUGGUCUCACGGCCUCAGUCUGAGCUCCUCGAAUGGUGUCCAACACCAGAAUCAUCACUAUCAAUCUCAUAGAAAUGUCACGCAUCGGAACACUCUCCGCCCUACGACUCAAGGCAUCGGCCACCAUGUUGGCUUUCCCCGGGUGAUACAGGAUCUCGCAAUCGUAAUCCUUCACCACAUCUAGCCAUCUCCUUUGUCGCAUAUUCAGGUUGGGCUGAUCCAUCAAGUACUUCAGGCUCUUGUGAUCCGUGUAUAUGGUACACCGGACCCCAUAUGGAUAGUGACAUCAGAUCUUGAGGGCGAACACUACUGCCCCCAACUCUAAAUCAUGGGUAGGAUACCUCGCCUCAUGAGGCUUCAGCUGCCUCGAUGCAUACGCUAUCACAUGGUCUCUCUGCAUAAGCACUACUCCCAACCCUGAUAUCGACGCAUCAUAAUAUACCACAAAAUCCUCCAUUCCCUCCGGAAGGGCUAACACCGGGGUUUCACAUAAUCUCUUGCGAAGUGUCUCGAAGGAGGCCUGCUGCUCUGGACCCCAAGAAAAAACUACACCCUUUCGGGUCAACUUAGUGAGUGGCAUGGCGAUCUUGGAGAAAUCCCUGAUGAAUCUUCGAUAGUAGCCUGCCAGUCCUAUAAAACUCCUGAUCUCCGUGGGUGACCUCGGCACCUCCCAACUCAUCACCGCCUCAAUUUUGGCCGGGUCGACCAAUAUCCCUUUCUGGUUAAUGAGAUGUCCCAGGAACUGGACCUCCCGUAACCAGAAAUCACACUUGGAGAACUUGGCAUAAAGCCUCUCCGAUCUCAAGACCCCUAGGAUCUCCCUUAGAUGCUCCUCAUGCUGCUCUCUAGAUCUCGAAUACACCAAAAUGUCGUCGUUGAAUAUGAUCACCGAGCGAUCCAACAUCGGUCUACAUGCCCUGUUCAUGAGAUCCAUGAACACCGCUGGUGCGUUGGUGAGCCCGAAAGGCAUCACCACGAACUCGUAAUGCCCGUAACGAGUCUUAAACACUAUCUUCUGGAUAUCCUCAUCCCGCACCCUCACCUGAUGAUAUCCAGAUGUCAAGUCGAUCUUGGAAAACCAAGAUGCUCCCUGCAACUGAUCAAACAAAUCGUCAAUCCUCGGCAACGGGUAACGGUUCUUGACCGUCAAUUUGUUCAACUCCCGGUAAUCAAUGCACAUCCGGUGUGAACCAUCCUUUUUCUUGACAAAAAGGAUAGGAGCUCCCCACGGCGAACUACUCGACCGAAUAAACCCCUUUCCCAGCAACUCCUUAAGCUGCGAGGAUAACUCUUGCAUCUAUGGAGGCGCAAGGCGAUAGGGCGCCUUGGCGAUAGGCGCGGCCCUCGGAACCAAAUCGAUACUGAACUCCACCUGCGUCUCCGGAGGUACGCCCGGCAACUCCUUCGGAAAUACAUCCGGGAACUCACGCACUAUCGGAACCUCUCCCAUAGACCUCGGUCUCUCCGUCUCAACCAUCACGUUCAUCACAAACAUUAUGAAUCUCUUACAUCCCUGUUGAAGACUCUACUUCGCCCUGGCGACUGAGCAAAAUGCUGAACCAGAACGUGUACCCUCGUCGUACACCGUAAGAACUCCCCCAUUGGGGUCUCGCAUGGUCACCAGCUGUCGCUCGCAGUCGAUGAUCGCUCCAAAUCUGCUCAACCAGUCCAUACCCACGAUGACACGGACAUCCCCCAUCACAAUAGGGACCCGAUCUAUCGGAAACACAACCCCGAAAAUCUCAAGUACAAAACCAUGAAUCACCUCGGUGGCAUACACCGCUCUCUCAUCCGCUAUGGAAACUCUCAGAGGUCGACUCAANACGCCUCCCGACUAAUACUGGUGUGUUGGCUAAAGGCCAACGAUACAAAAGAUCGACUCGCACCCGAGUCAAAUAACACUAGAGCAGGUACAAAAUUCACAAGGAAAGUACCUACGCAUAACAUAAUAUAAGCACAAUAUCACAAAAUACAAAAGAAUACAUGAAAGAGUACAUACCGGCCACGACAUCGGGCGCUGCGCGGACCUCCUCCGCAGUCAACUGGAAGGCUCUCUCGCGUGCCUUCUGUGCCUCGACCUUCACAGGUCGAACAUCUGCAGCUCUCAUCGCAACAUGGGCUGAUCCCGGAGAUGCUCCCUGUGCUGACCCCCGCAACUGUCGACACUCUGCCUUCCGGUGUCCAGUCUGGUUGCAAUGAAAAUAGACUGAAAAACCCUUAGGGCAAUCCUUGGCCAUGUGCCCCUCCUUGCCACACUUGUAGCAAGACCCUGCUCUGCAUAUCCCAUCGUGGCUCUUGCCGCACUUGCCACAAGUGAAGCCCUUCUGGUUCCCAGAUCUCGAAUCAGCGGGUUUGGCCCGCUUGGCUGCCGGCUGAGAUUGAGCCGGCCGCCGAUNGCCUCCUCCCUGGCUUGGGUCUCCAACUCUAUUUCCCUCUUCCGGGCAUUUGCCUGAAGCUCAGCAAAUGUCCGGUACGAUGAGUUCGCCACGAAAUCUUGUAUAUCCCUCCUCAACACACUCAAAUAUUGGCUCAUACGUGCCUGCUCGGAGGACACGUGCUCUGGGCAGAACAUCGCCCUCUCAUGGAACUUCCGAGUAAUCGCUGUAACCGACUCAGUACCCUGCUUGAGGGUCAGAAACUCCUAUGCCAAUCGCUCCCUCUCCACCUGGGGAAUGUACUCAUCUCGGAACAUAGCAGUGAACCUCUCCCAGGUUACUUCCGCAAGCUCAGCAGGCGUGUAGUGCGCUGUCAUAAUCUUCCACCAGUCCUUCGCUCCCAAGCGAAGCUGGUUCAGUGCAAACCAAACUCUCAAAUGCUCAGGGGAUGAGCAGGUAAAGAAACACCCCUCAAUGUCUGAUAUCCAUCUCAUCGCUGCAAUCGGGUCCCGGGUCCCAUCGAACUCUGGUGGUUUCGUGUUGCUGAAUUCUCUGAACAGCAACGCAUCACCACCCUGUGGCCUCGUUGCAGCUAUAGCUGCAGUGGCCGCAGAAACAGCAGCCUCAGAAAGAGCAGCGUAUCUCUCGUCAAAUGUCUCAAUCAGAGUGGUCUUGAUAGACCUGAACAUCUCUGGUAUCUCUGCCCUGAUGGCCGCAACCACCUCCUCCUGAAUGAUCCUACGGAUCUCAGCCUCGGUCGUGCUACUACUCUCUGGUGUGUGGCGUGUCCCAACCAUGGUCUCCUUCUGAAAUACAACAUAAGAACAUUAGAGACCCCUUCGAGUAUAAUCACACUCAAUAACUCCACCCUACUUGUUCCUUAGUGCCCUAAGGAUUCUUACUUGGACUAUGCACCAACCCGGUAUCUUCAGUAGUACGGGCCCAAUAUUAUUGUCCAUACCGCAUCGGCAUUCAUCCCAAGUCCUCCUCCUUGAGCCCCAAAUCCCAAGUACUCUACUCUCUCUAUCAUGUGCUACUCGCUAACAAAUCUCUAAUAAGCACCUCACUGCUAUCUAAAUCACUCUUAAGCAUCUCUAGCAGCAAAACCCCUAGACUAAGGCAUCAUAUAUCAGGCCACUCUAGUCCUAAUAAGAAUACCUAGUCUACUCUAGCAUGCAUAUCGUAACUCAUCAUAUAGCAUAACAUAACAUAUCUGAUAAUCACUUAUUAUGAGGGUAUUUUGGGAAAUCACCGUUCGGGCGCUAGCUAAUCGUACACACGACACCGCUCUGUUAGUCUCAAGACUCCUUUUACUCUUUUUCAAAAAUAUUAUUUUUAUUAUUAAAAUUUCCUCAAAUCCCUAGUUUCAGUUCAGAUACGCCCGAAGAUGUAUUUGAAUCCUUCAAACCAAGGCUCUGAUACCAACUUGUAACACCGUAAAAAUUUGAACAAUUUUUUUCACUUUUCAAAAACCAUAAAAUAUCAUUUGUAAUCAUAAGUAAAAACAUUGUGUCAACAUUGUAUCAGUACAAAACCCAAGAUCAAAAUAGAUAAACUCCGGUGUGUGUGUGUACGAAUCAUGCCGACGCCUUCCCGCGAUCAUCACUGGUACCUGAAACACAUAACACAUAACACAGUAAGCAUAAAUGCUUAGUGAGUUCCCCAAAAUACCUCUCUAACACAUAAUAGCUACUCGACGUGUAACUCUGUUGACCCUCAGGUCAAUAUGUCUCAGUAGGGCCCUCCAGCCCCAACUCUCUGUGGGCUCUCUGGCCCUAAAUCUAUGGACCCGAAGGUCCUAACUCUAUAACUCUGAAUCAUGCAUAUCACAUAUCACAAUAAAUCACAACACAUAAAUAGCAUGCAAUUACACUGGCAUAGAACUCUAAAAUACUCUAUCACAUAACUCUGUUACCACACUAGGUAAAGUAUAGUGAGAAGACUCACCUCGGGUAUCUCGGUAAAUCUCUGACUCGGUAAACGCUGGUCUAGCCUCCGCCUAAUCAUAUAAAAUAAAUACCCUAAUUAUUAUAACUCUCAAGGCUAGACUAUGUCCUCUUAUGACGCUCUCAGAAGGGUAAAAGACCAUUUUACCCCUCUCAUAACUCAAAAGGCCCCACAAUAGACCAUACCCUAAAAGUCAACCCAAAGUCAACUUUCCGGGUUACGCUGCGCGUACCAGAUGUGUACGCUGAGCGUACCCGACUGCAUCUCAAAAACGGGGAACGCCACCUAGUACGCGGCGCGUACUCGGAUUACGCCCGGUGUACUCCACAACUUCAGCCCUUUAGCUCUUGAGGUCUUAAACAGUUAAGACUCACGUCCAAUUUCUAGAUCUGACCACAUCUAAGCCUCUUAAUCCAUAAAGUUGAUGACUUUAUGCCUUUGCAUGGCUGAACAAGCCACCAACUCUCAUAAUAUUCCAUCCUCUAACCCUAGAAGGCUUAUUACUCAAUCAUGACCUCAAACUAACACUAAAGAUGGAAACUUUAUGGCUCUAAAUCACUAAUAGCACUGAAAGGGGACAUAUCUCGGACCAUGGAGCACUUUACACUCAUAAAGUCUCCACCUUUGGGGGUUUUUAGCUCUAGAAAUGGCACAUGCAACAACAAAUCAAAAGAAGAGGAAAGUUUUGAACUUUAUACCUCUAAGUGUAGCCCCUUGCUCUGUAGAUCUCAGAUCCAAAAUGGCACCUCAAGAUUUAGCUUCCAAGAACUCCUUUCCUUCUUCUUCACUAAGUCACCAAAGCACAUUUAGCUCCAAUAACACUCACACACACUAAGGACGGUGGGAAGCUCUCUUUUAGGGUUUCACUCACUGAUAUGGAGGUUGAGAAAUGAACCUUAGCACCCUUUAAAUAGUGCACAAGACGGAUUAGGGUUUUGCACCUGGGCCGGGAUGCCCGACGUAACUCUGGGUACGCCCAGCGUACCUUGGCGAUUCCGUGUCCAAACUAAGCACAUGAGUACACGCAGCAUACCCCUUUGGUACGCCUAGUGUACUCACUUGCUAAGUUUUCUCCACACAAGGGCUAAUCAUGACUAAUUGACAAAGAAUAAGGGUAAAAGAAACGCACCUGAAUCUUAGGGUGUUACAAGUUAUUUGAAAAUUUUGGGUGUUACACUCCCCUUAUAGUGUGGCAUCGUGAAUGAGGCGUCUAGCGGUUCGACUGACUCGUCUUAUAUAUAGUAAUAUUAAACCUUUAAUGUUACAUAUAAUAUAAGUGUGUAUUUUAAACUUUUAAAAUACUAAGGGUUUAAUCUUUUAAUAAAUUAAACUUUUAAUUUGAUUAAAUUUAAACCUUUUAUGGAUUUAUUAAUUAUCUUUUAAUUAAAAACUUAAUUAAAUUAUUAAUAACAUCGAUAAGGAUGUAUAUUAAAUAUUUUAAAAUACUAGGGUUCUUAAAUUUACGAUUUCAAAAUUAAACUAUUUAAUUAAAUUUUAAAUUAAAAAACCAAAUGGUGUAUUUUUAAAACUCUUCAAAAAUACUAGAUCAAAUAUUUAAAUAAUUAAUAAUUAAUUUUGCCUUUAUCUACAAAUUUAACCAAAUUAAUUCCUUUAAUCCCAAAAUUAAUUCCAAAUUAAUUUUUGAUUGAAUAUUAUUUAAACAACAUGAUUUCCAAUUAAUAUAUUAUUUUCAUUACAUAUUUAUAAAUCAUUUAUAUGAAUUUAUUAUUCCAAACAAUAAAUUCAACUUCUCUCCAAAAGUCAUCCUGCCAAGUUGCAAAAGUGAAGGCAACCCAAAAGGACUUGUGCUUCUAUCAAUUCAAGUAUAUACCAAUUCUAGUUAUGAGUUUAGACACCUAAUCCAACAAUUUCAACAAUUAUAGAAGAAUAGAAUGUGAAAAUUUGGAAACGCAGAAGAGCAAUGUUUGUUGAAAACACUAUCAUGACAUGUGACAUGUCAUGUGUUUGACUUGGUCAAAAAACCCUAGUUGUGGUACCUUGAUCUCUAAGUAUUGAACUUUCUAGAUACUUCUAGAACCUUCGACACGCAUAUUCACGAAGUCAACAUAUGGCCAAAGUUGGUCGGGUUGCUCCAACCCAAUCCAACACGAACCCUAAUAAAAUUAACAGCUCCUCAACUUUGAGUGACCGAAGUACAAAGUACGUCUAAAUCACGCCAAUUCGUGAACCUCAUGUCUCGUAUCCUCGGCCUUGUUCGACAUGCGUAAGGACGUGGCACUUCCCCCAAUCCAUAUUAAAAUCUUUGAAGGCUAAACAUGUUCUUAAAUUUAUUUAUAUUGGUAAAAGAUAUAGUGAAAACAAGCUAUNNNNNNNNNNNNNNNNNNNNNNNNNNNNNNNNNNNNNNNNNNNNNNNNNNNNNNNNNNNNNNNNNNNNNNNNNNNNNNNNNNNNNNNNNNNNNNNNNNNNNNNNNNNNNNNNNNNNNNNNNNNNNNNNNNNNNNNNNNNNNNNNNNNNNNNNNNNNNNNNNNNNNNNNNNNNNNNNNNNNNNNNNNNNNNNNNNNNNNNNNNNNNNNNNNNNNNNNNNNNNNNNNNNNNNNNNNNNNNNNNNNNNNNNNNNNNNNNNNNNNNNNNNNNNNNNNNNNNNNNNNNNNNNNNNNNNNNNNNNNNNNNNNNNNNNNNNNNNNNNNNNNNNNNNNNNNNNNNNNNNNNNNNNNNNNNNNNNNNNNNNNNNNNNNNNNNUAUAUAUAUAUAUAUAUAUAUAUUUAAAAAUAAAAAAUUUAUAAUAACGAUAAAGUUACCCAUUUUCUUGUUCUCUGCAUUUGAGUAUAUUUAAAUCAUAAACACACUCUCACAUACUCAGACACUAGAUUUUGUUCUCAAAGUACGUCAAUAUUUAUUUGAGCGAGUAUAUAAUUGAAAUGUGAAAAUGAUGCCACAAUUUUUGAAUGUACUUAACAUAAAUAUGUCUUUAAAUAAUCAAAGUUGCUUUAGUUUCAUUGUAUGAUUUACGUGAAUGAUGUUUUAUGCAAGUGUUUAGAUAUUUGAUGCAUGCCUAAAAUGUUUUUCUUAUUGUUAAGCUAUAAUAUUUUAUUUCCAAAAGUCUAAGCAUGCCUUGUGUUUGUGCGUGAAUGAUAAUGCUUUUAUGAUAAUAAUUAAAGACGUGUAUAACUUGUUUGUACGUGAUUUGUCUUGACAUAUGGUUCAAUUAUUCAGAAUUGGACUUAUAAAGAUAGUAUGAGCUAAUCACUACAAGAAAAUAGCCCUUUAGCAACAUGGUUUUUAGUAAAACAUUAUGCCGUCGCGAAAGGUGAGUCUCUCGACCAUUUCCUAUCAAACUCUUUUCUUUGAUACAAAAAUAGCAUUAAUAUUCAUUUUUAAUCGUACACCAUUUUUUAGACUAUUACUUAUACUAGUUUAUAACCCGUGGAAAUGACGAUUAUAAAAUUAAUCAAACCUUUAUAGUAAAAACUAAAAAUUAUUAAUAAGUUAUUUUAAAUAAAUUAUUAAUUUAAGAGAUAUUUUUUAUUAGUUAUGUGAAAUUAUAAUCAUUGAUUCAAAUAAAUAUAUAAAAUUAAUUUUUAAUAUAUAUUAGAUAUUUUUUAUUUGUAAAUUAAUGAAAACAAUAAUUUAAAAUUUAAAAUUUAAAAUUUAAAAUAGAAUCACAUUAAUGAGGGGGUCUAAUAAAUUUAAAAUGAAAAACUAAUAGAUUGACAAGUGGCAAUACAUUAAUUAAAAUGUCUAAUAUGAUUACACAUGACAAAAGAGCUACUCUUUUAUUACUAUAGACUAGUAAUACCAAAGGUAUAAUAAUAUAUAUAAAUAACCUUUAAAAAUUAAAUAUUAUCCAAAACACUUUUCGCAUUAUUAGCUUUUUACAAUCAAAUUUAUGCUACUUUUUUUUUGUAAACUAUUAUUUAAUUUAACAAUUCGAAUUAUAAUUUUAUUGAGACAAUAUCAGUUGUUUCAUUGAAGUAAAUAAUGAUAACAAACAAAUAUUACAUAACCAAAUGCCUAAGUGUUGCGGCUAAUUUUAGACUCAAUAAUAUGUAGAGUUUCUGUCCAGUGUUGGUUUCAUUGUGCACACUUCAACCUUUUGUUGGAGUGUCACAUGUUCAUUUUUGUUAGUGCUUCUAAUUUCAGUCUCACCUUGAGGCUUAAAUAAACUUUAUUUAUGUGUUUAUGACGUCCUCUCGUUCCUUUGAGAGCGGGACUUGUCAGUGUCAUUUUUCGGGGGUUUCAUUGUUGCCCAAAUAGUACUGUUGGAAGUAAGGGGAUUUCCCGUAUGAUAUCUCAUCUCAAGAACUUACACCUCCAUACAGAUGAAUGCAAAACUGUGUUAUAAGAGGCUAUUACUUCUAACCAUUGAUUCUUUGUGUGUGGGGUAGCAACUUUGAAGGAAUUUGGUCAAUGGAUAUGGGAGAAUUGCAUGAGGCUUCAUGCCCUGAGUCAUUCAUGUCACCACUCGGGUGGCCUGAUUAAGUUUAUUGACGGGGCUGAUGACAUGAGCAGCAUAUUGUUGGCAUUCUAAAGCCGCCACCCAAUGGACCAGAGGCCGACCUCAAUGGUGGGUUGGUGAUGGAUGCUCAACUACUUGAUCUUGUUUUUAAACUACCUAUCACCACCGUCAAAAGCAUCCCUCAUAAUUGUCAUAUGGAUUUCUCCCAGGCUUUGAAAGCAGCCAUUUCCAAGGUGGAUGCUCAUCCCGGGUCCGUUGAAGUGUGGGUUGUUUUGUUAAUUCUUCCUAGGUGUAUUCUUCAAGUGUUCAUGCCUAAGAAUAGGCAAGAAAGUAGGUUUGGCAACAGGAAGUCUUUACAACUUCAUAAUAUCCUGAGCACGUUAGCUAUUUGGGGGAUUGAAGACGGUAUUGCUAAGCUAGUUAAAAACUUAGUUGACAAUGUAAGACUGGAGCAACAAGGCAAAAACGAAGAGUACAUUCAGGAGGAACGAACACUGGGAAACAACCAAUUUCAGACAAUGUGUUCGUAAUGUUGUUGAUGGACAUUUUACCGUACCAGUGAAAUUUUGUGUUCUUUGGGGGUUGCUUCAUUUCGGCGGUGAUACCACGAAGGCAUUAGAGGAUAAGCAUCCAUACAAGCCACUGCCUUCCACGCCCAACACCAUAUUUUCAGAACCUCCCCUUGUAGUGGAUGUUGACAAUGUCAUUAGGGGAAUUAAAUCAUUCCCUAAAGGUACCUCGUGUGGGAGAGAUGAGUUGAGAGCUCAACACAUUUUGGAGGCUCUUUUUGGAGAAGGUUCAGAUAUAGCCAAAGACCUCAUACAGGUUAUUACAUAUGUAGUUAAUCUAUGGCUAGGGGGAAGAUGCCCUUCGAGUUUGGUAGAAUUUGUUGUCUCUUCUCCUUUCAUGCCACUUUUAAAACAUGACAAGAGAAUACGACCUAUUGUGGUAGGUACUAUAUGGAGAUGUUUGGUUUCCAAGUUGGUUGUGAAAGGUGUUGGUAAAGAAAUGGCCAAGUAUCUCAAUGAUUUUCAGUUGGGGGUCGGGGUGUCGGGUGGUGUUGAUGUCAUAUUACAUAGCGCCAAUAGGGUGUUGAGUGAGCGCCACGAUGACAGAUCUCUUUCCAUGCUUACCGUGGACUUCUCUAAUGCCUUUAACCUUUUCGAUAGAUCCACAUUACUUUAUGAGGUCAGAUUGAGGUGCCAUUCUAUAUCCUUGUGGGUAGAAUUCCUUUAUGGUCAAGCAGCAAGGUUGUAUCUAGGCAACAUACAUAUUUGGUACAUUACUGGGGUUCAUCAAGGAGACCCCUUGGGACCAUUUCUCUUUUCCCUUGUGUUGCACCCACUCUUGCAUGAUAUUAGAGACAAUUGCAAGCUUUUUCUCCAUGCAUGGUAUCUUGAUGAUGGAACACUUAUUGGAGAUUCAAAGGAGGUCGCCAAAGCGUUGGAUAUCAUUACGGUGAUUUUCCCAAAAUUGGGCCUUCAGCUGAAUAUCAAGAAAACCAAGCUCUUUUGGGCCUCAUGUAAUUGUAAGAAGCUACAUGAGGGACUAUUCCCGACUGAAAUCGGGAGGACACCUUUGGGGGUGAAACUUCUUGGGGGAGCUGUUAGUAGAGAUGCUACUUUCAUUAGCAACUUAGCCAUAAAGAGAGUUGAAAACAUUGUGAAUUUGAUGCGCCUUCUUCCACAGUUGUUUGACCUCCAAAGUGAUCUUCUUCUGCUUCGGUCUUGUAUGGGAAUUACUAAGCUUUUCUUUAUGUUGAGGACGUGCCAACCCGUUCACACGGAGGAGGCGACAAUAUUCUUUGACAAUGGGUUGUGAGGGGCGAUUAAGGACAUUGUGGUUUAUGGUGGCCCUUUCUUUGGCGAUAUAUAGUGGAAAAUUGUUUCCUUACCCAUCAGGUUUGGUGGUUUUGGUUUAUACUCGAUAGUAGAGGCUACCUCAUAUGCUUUUGUUGCCCUAGGGGCCCAAUCUUGGGUAUUACAAAAGCACAUCUUACGGGAUAGCGACAUAUAUGGUAUGGAUUCUGAUUAUGAUUGUUUCGUGGCUUCUUUUCAUAACAAGCUUCCGGAUAUUGGCCUUAGCACUAAAGACACCCCUCCUAAAUCCCAGAAUACACUGGCGGGUGCCCUUUUUCGUAAAACUGUCCAAGAUAUGGAAGUGCAUAUUGACAUGACGGCUUGGUAGAAAGCAAUGCUUACAUGCACCACAUGCUCAUGAUUUUCUUCUAGGUAUCCCUAUAUGGGCUUGGCCAACAUAUGUCUCCCGUAGAGUAUCAUACUAUCCUCAAAUAUUGACUCAUGAUUCCAAUAUUCCCAGCUGAUAAGAUAUGUCUAAUGUGUCGCAAGGCAUGCUUGGACUCGUUUGGAGAGCAUGCAGUUCACUGUAAAGAACUCUCGGGGUUCAAAUAUAGGCAUGAUAUGGUUAUGGAUAUUUUGUUUGACAUAUUUAAGCAUGUCGGGUUUCAGCCAAGAAAGAGGCACCUGUGAAUUUCUUGACUGAACGGCUAACAUUUUGAUUUUUGGAUGGGUCGGAGGGAAACACACAUGUGUGGACCUCACAGGGUUAUCCCCUUUCAUGGGCUUGAGGGUUAGGGGUUUCAUGACGGGAGAUGAUGCUUUAAAAGUUGCUACAGGCAAAGUCACCAAACAUGAGAAAUCGUACAUGGAAAAUCAACAUGUGUUCAUACAAUUUUGCAUUUGAUAUGUUUGGUUUCCUCGCGCCGGAUGCGGUGAAGCUUCUUAAUACAGUACAAGGGAUCAUGCACAACAAUGUUAUAUGCCUUAGAUCUAUGGAUGUAGUCUUUAGACGAAUUAGCUUUACCGUACGAAAAAGCUUAGCGACGCAACUUGUUUCCCGUUUGCCAUCUCACUCAUUGUACGAUGAUAAUUAAAUUAAUAAAAAUGGAGUUAUAUUGGAUUAAAAGAAAAUAUCUAUCACAUACUUAAUAAACAAAACCAAAAAUAUUGUUUUAGUAAAGUGACAUUUUGUUAAAUAAAACAUUUUACCACAUUUUAUACUUGGCUUAAUAAAUAUCAAUUUAAUAUUGACAUAAUACUACAAAUAAUUAAUAAUAUUUCAUUUAAAAUAUACAUAAUCAUAUAUAUAUAUAUAUAUAUAUAUANAAACACAGUCUGAAAAUUUAAUUUAAUUUAAUAAUAAAAACCAUAGUCGAUAAACCUCAUGUAAAAAUCAUAAACAAUGUAUCCCAAAAUAUUAUAACAAUUGUCAAGUAUAUCAGAGUAUAAACAUCUCAGGCUGAACAAAUGGUAUGUGCACCGCAAUCUUCCCAAACUCCUCUUUUGAAAACUGAGUACCUGAAACCAAAACUGAAAACUGUAAGCACGAAGCUUAGUGAGCUCCCCCAAACUACCACAUACCAGACAAUAACAAAUAAAGCACAUACUAGGCCUUGACCACUGCAUCGGACCGAAGUCCAGACUAACUGGGGCCUUGCCUCCUACAUCAGACCGAAAUCCGGACUAACUGGGGCCUUGCCCCUGCAUCGGACCGAUGUCCGGACUAACUGGGGCCUUGCCCCUGGAUCGGACCGAAGUCCAGACUAACUGGGGCCUUGCCCCCUGCAUCGGACCGAAGUCCAGACUAAUUGGGGCCUUACCCCCUGCAUCGGACCGAAGUCCGGACUGACUGAACAUAGCAUAACAUGAUCAUAGCAUAUAACAUAAGCACAUAUACUGCAUACUACAUCGGACUGAGGUCCAGACUAACUAACACACAAACAUGCCUGAAUCACAAAGACAUCAAGCAUAUUGAACUACUGCAUCGGACCAUAGUCCGGAACUACUGCUAUCUAAACGGGCUGACGUUGUGGCCGUAGACCCGUUCCUACUGGAAGGAAACUCACCUGUACUGCUGAACUCGGCCGGUAACCCUCUGGCUGCUAACCGAUGACUCUCCGAAAUGCUGCUCCUCUAGCUCCCUGAGCUACCAAUACCAAUAAUAACACUUAGCCUAAAUUGUCCUCCCGAGGUCAACUAAGUCAAUUCUGGACAAAGUCAACCUUCCCGUUGACUCGACUCACCGAGUUGUUCUACCAACUCACCGAGUCCAUGCUCCUCAAAUCUCAAACAAUCCCCGACUCCCCUCGUCGAGUCUAGUGAGAACUCGACGAGUUCUCCUUCAUUUAACACCUCGGGACUAUCUUCAACCGACUCGCCGAGUCCAUCUUCAUCAGCUAAGGAGAUUGCCUUGGACUCGCCGAGUACCUUCUCGAACUCGUCGAGUACCAUGAUCUUUAUGUCCAACACGGACACAAACUGGCUGAGUCCUUCUCUAACCUCACUCACUGAUCUGGCUCAUAAUAGAAGGGUUUGGGUUUGCGACCCGACUCGCCGAGUCCAUGAACUGAAUCGCCGAGUCCUCCUAGUGACGACUCUAAUCUGUCGAUUUCAGUCUAUACCACACUUCCAACUGAUAGAUCUAGACUCCUUAUGCUAGUAUUGCAUGUAAAGUUGCUAACUUUACGUGCAUGAAAGGGGUUAUGAGGCUAGAACACCAAAUCCAAGCUAAUAAGAAUCUCAAGGUCAAGACAUGGAGCCUUAGCUAGAUAAAGCCAACAACUCUGAGCUUUUAGAGCUCAAAAGUGUCCAUAUCUAAUGUCCAAACCAUCCUCCAAGGCUUAUCACCCGGAUUCCACUUGGAAACGGUCCAAAUGUAACAAAAGAUAAGCUAGAAAAGGGAUCUAGAUGAUUAACAGCCAAGGUAUAAGCUUUAUACCUUCAAAUGAUCUGGAAUGUCACCCAAACUUUGGAUCUAUACUCCUUUCCUUGCUCCCUUUCUUCCACAAUCUUCAAGAUGCACACCAAGAGCCUUAAUCUUCUCACACGAGCUCAAGAAUGAAGUUGGGUGGCUAGGGUUUUGUCUCUGGACAAUGGAGGCUAUAAAUGAAACCCUAUAAAUGAGAAUGAGAUGCUUAAAUAAGGUGCCAAGUCCCGAAAUUAGGGUUUCUCAACCCAGACCAGCCUCGCCGAGUCAGUUUCCCCGACUCGCCGAGUCGGUCACUUAAUUCGUGACACGGGUCACGCUCCGACUCAUUGAGUUCCUCCUUGGACUCGACGAUUUGACUCCUUUAACUAAGGGCUUUUCUUUCCUUUCUUGGUCUUUCAGAUUCUGGGUGUUACAACUCUCCCCCACUUAAACUAGACUUCGUCCUCGAAGUCCGCUACAUCCAACUGUUCUGCAAUCUGCUUUCAACACUGCUGCUGAAAGAAUCUAACUUUCGCUGGCCACUUCCAUUGACCUUUCCCCUGGUCAUUCACACUAAAACUAAUCAUUGCAGAUAACAAUCCUCAAGUGCACUAUAAUUUCCACCAAUGAUCAUGAGAAAUCAAUUUACUCAACUAGCCAUCCUUCACAAGGCCCUAAAUUCUGCAGAUGAACGAAUUCCUUGCAACAAGAUCACAUCUACUCCGUCUGAGAUAUGUUGUCUCGAGAUGGUCUGAAUCCCUGACAGACCACUCAUACUAAAUCAUUAUAGAUAAACCCCGCGGGGGGUGACUUAGCAUUAAUCGACAAUCAGUUACGCUUACCAGACAUGAGAUCCUCAAAUACCAUUACCGCUGGAGACCCAAAACUGCCUGAAACACUGAACUGCCUGAACACUAAACUGCCUGAACCACUGACUGCCAGAAACACUGAACCGCCUGAACACUGAACUGCCUGAAUACUGAACUGCCUGAACCACCAUGCUGCUACAUGGCUGCUUUCCAACAUCAAUCGAGACCUUCCUCGUCUCAAUUCAUUCGUCAGUCAUCUGUAAUAUCGGGUUCUAGCCCAGCUGCGGAGCUAAAGGACUCCCUAUUUAGUCGCCUCACACGAAUUCUGAAUAAAAUUCUUCUCUGGAACUAGUUGCCACUAGUUAUCAUGUCACUGAGACUCUAACAACCACCUGAUCCAACCGAUCGGGUCCGUAGGUCGAAUCCUGAUGUUACCAGACCACGGCUAAACAUGACUGCUACAUGACCAAUUGUAGCCUUAUGUCAUAAAUGACCUUAAGUCGUCCACUACUUCCUUGAUCUCAUAGCUGCAUCGGUGCUUCUACAGUCUUAUCUCUGGCUUAACCAGAUCUAACCUAUCUGAGUAAAUUUCAAAAAUCCAAUCCGUGGAUUUCCAUCUCCUCACUGAUACACCCGAACUGGUGGGUACUACCGUCCUUCCUGCAUCCUAACCACGGACUCACGUUGUCUACUAACCUAGUGAAUGCUACAACUACUCCCGCAGACUUACAACACUCUAAUACUAUCUGACUGAUAGUGAAUGCUACAGAUACACCCGCAGACUUCCAACACUCCAACACUAUCUGCCUGUAAGUGAAUGCUACGUAUACACCUGCAGACUUACAUCACUCUAAAACUAUCUGGCUGCUACUGAAUGCUACGGCUACACCCGCAGACUUACAACACUCUAACACUAUCUGGCUACUAGUGAAUGCUACGGAUACACCCGCAGACUUACAACAAUCUAACACUAUCUGGCUGCUAGUGAAUGCUAUGGCUACACCCGCAGACUUACAACACUCUAACACUAUCUGGCUACUAGUGAAUGCUACGGAUACACCCGCAGACUUACAACAAUCUAACACUAUCUGGCUGCUAGUGAAUGCUAUGGCUACACCCGCAGACUUACAACACUCUAACACUAUCUGACUGCUAAUAAACAUUACGGGAACACGACCUCAUUAUUGGCAAGUUUUUCCAAACUUCCCUCUCACACUAUCCUCAAAUCAGACAGCUUCCUGGGCUGUCUCCCUUUUUCUGAAAAGGAUGCGAAACUUAUCCCAGUUUCAAAACUGCUCCUACUUCUGAAUCCUUGGAUGAUUCUCCCCCACUUUGAUUCAACUAACGUCUUACAGCACACAAUACUAGAAGGAUUCUCAAUCCUUCUUACCAUUCUAUGCGCAAUCUGCUGAAAACCACACUUACCAUUGCUAGUGUUGCAAUACUAACCAGUCCAAGAGAUCAUCACACCACUUCCAAUGAUCUGAAUACAUCUCCGGUGAUAACCUGCUAAACCCAGGAGGCUCCGAAUCCCAAUUGGAGACCUCGGAAACUCCCACUAUAUCAUGACUUUUAUCUUAUCUAUAAAGACUAGAAUACCCUUCUGAUUGACAUGGUACCUAAACGAUUGCACCUCGGACAACCGGAAGUCAUAUUUGGAGUACUUUGCAAAAAGUCUCUCCCUCCUCAAAGUCUCUAGCACCUCCCUCAGGUGCUCCUCGUGCUGGAAUAUAACCAAUCUAUACCCGAACCACACCUUCCCGAAGGUAGUGAGAUGCUACUGAGUCUCACACAUACUUGCUACUGCUACUGCAAUCUAGUGCAGCUUGAUCUUGACUUCCUGCGGAACAAUAGGCGCCUGAACCUGGACUCUCUCCACCACCAAAACAGGACAACAAGACUUGAAAUGACCAGGCUGGUGGCAAUGAAGACAUAUUUGAUCCUUCUUACAAUCUCGAUACACAUGCCCCCUUUCCCCGCACUUGAAACACCUAAACUUGUGACAACCAAACCCAUGAGUUCCUCCACACUUACCACACGCCUCAAGGUCUUCCUGAUUUCCAACAUCCAAGUUAGCUGAGUAUGACUCUUCACUUCUUCCCAAUUGUCCUGAAAUAAGUGCUCGCUUCCUUUUACCGUGCUGCCCAUCCAAACCAAUCUCCAUCUCCCGAGCUACCCCGACUACCUCAUUAAUCGAUUCAGUAGUCGCUAACUGACCCUGAAUCUUAGCUACUAGCCCAAUAUUUUCGGGUAGUUCUUGGCGUACAGCUCGCGACUCCACUACAGACAACUGAAACGCCCUGCUUCCUACCACAGGCGCCUCUACCCGACCCUAAUGGUCGUCGGUGAUCCUUAAAGUGGCAGGGACAGGUGAUAUCAUAUGUACUGCCGGAAACCAACUCGGACACUAGGCCUUCCUAUGUCCCCACUGACUGCAAAGGAAACAUAUCAGAUCUGACCCCCGAGUGGUGGUAAUAGCACAAUCUCUUCUAAAAUGAGCAGUCCGUCCGCACCUGAAUCAGCCAGAAUCACCACCAGUACCACUCCUACACGUACUCUCGUGCGUCCUGGCCGAAUUUUCGCAUCGGAUGCGGCUCUGAUAAUCCCUUUAUCUCGAAUCUGAUGCCUUGGACCUUUUUCCUGAACCCGUCGUUACCUGAACCUCUUCUGGCUUCCUCUUCUUGAUCUGCUCCAGAUCAAUCUCCCUCUCACUGGCCUGAGCAAUCAUGUCCUCCAGCUCUUUGCAGCUGGACCUGCUCACAAACUUCCUGAUGUCAUAUCUCAACAUUUCAUGAUAUCAAGCUUUCUUCAUCUCCUCGUUCGCCACAUACUGCGCAACCGAGAGAGCCCUCUCCCUGAACUUGGCGGUGAUCUCCGCCACCGUCUCAGUAGUCUGCUGAAGAUCCUGGAACUCUGGUGCCAACUACUGCACCUCAAUAGCUGGUGCAUACUCAUCCCUAAACCUAGCCGAGAAAUCACUCCAUGACAUCGCGUCCAAAUCAACAUCAUCCCCCAAGGCAUGAACAACCUCCUCCCACCAAUCCCGCACUCCACCCUUCAGAAGACAGGAGGCGAGUCUGACCUUGUCCCCCUCGGGACACUGGCUCGCGCGGAAAGCGUUGGCAACAUCUGCCAACCAUCUGCUGCUAACAAUGGGGUCCCUAUCCCCAUGAUAAUCUGGUGCUCCACAAGCUCUAAACUCUCGAAAUGUCAACGUACUCGCUCCUAUCAAAGCCAUCAUCUCUGCGAGAAAGGCUCCAAGCCUCUCAUCCAAAAUCUCUAUUAUACACUCCUUGACCGUGCCAAAGAUCUCAUGAGUCGGGUCUAAGAUACUGCAUGUGAUCUCAGCUGAUACAAACUCUCUCAUACGCUCCUCGAGCUGCUCGAUCCAUAAACCCGAGCUUGAUCCCUCUCUGGCGCCUGAUCCGCCCACUGGCCUUUCACACAACAUCACCAUGUUGAAAGCAUAUCACUAUAACUAUCAAAAUACACUUCACUGCUGAAGGAUUCCACAUACACACUACAAGUUCCCUGGCUUUGUCUUGGCCCCUCUUGAAUCGAGUACGAAUUCUCUGCUUUCAGUAGUACGAGCGCAUACUACCUUCCACAUCUAUCCGUACUUUCUUCAAGAACUGCCUUGACUCUACCAAGUCCCUUCUACUACUACUGAUCUCUUCUACUCUCAUCCUAGGCUUGCCCUAGGGAAAAUCUCUGACUCUACCUAAACCAAUCCUCAACUGCUGCAGGCCUCCUUGGAAUGCCAAUUAGCCCUCACCUGAAUAACAUCACAUUUGAUGAGGCUCAGAUAAUCCUUCGAGUAAAAGACUCGUCCCUACAACGGUUAGACUCAGACGAGAGCUGAUCAAUAGGGCCAAAUCCAGCACUUUGAGAUUAUUCAACCCUGAUCACAUGUGACGUGACGUAUUUACCUGAUGACUAACUCCCAUCACUCAGAUUCCUACAAAGCACAAAGCAAGCAGCAUUCGGACACAGGAAACUACUUAAGCAAAUCUAUUCUCAUAACGAGAAACUGUACUAGCAUACAAUACUAAGCUCAUACUAUCAGGCAUAACCUAAACAUGCUAUCCUACUACUGUCUACUCAAUACUAGGAUGUAAUUUUCAUAAAGCUGAAACACAUAUAGCAGGCACAUAAGGCAUCCUCCUAGAUCAUUACUCCUAUUCUAGCAUGCUGUUCUACUGAAAAUGAAACUGAUAAUCAUAACAUAAACUUGUAUGGGUAAUUUAGGAGUACUUACUUGAGCUCGGCUGAUUGCAUGCACCACACCCUUUUCUCUUUUCAAAAUUCUUUUCGCUUUCUCUAAAACUCUUUUCUUUAUACUUUUCUAAAAUUGUUUUCUUUUCUUAAAAUCCUUUUGUAAACAAGGUUUUUCUCUUGAAAACUUUAUACCACUUCCUUAGUUUGAGUUCAGACACACCCAAAAGUGUGCCCGAAUCCCUCAAACCAACGCUCUGAUACCAACUUGUAACAUCCCAAAAACACAGUCUGAAGAUUUCGUUUAAUUUAAUAAUAAAAGUCAUAGUCGAUAAACCUCAUGUAAAAAUCAUAAACAAUGUAUCCCAAAAUAAUUCAACAACUGUCAAGUAUAUCAGAGUAUAAACAUCCCAGGCGGAACAAAUGGUGCGUGCACUGCAAUCUUCCCGAGCUCCUUUUUUGAAAACUGAGUACCUGAAACCAAAACUGAAAAUUGUAAGCACGAAGCUUAGUGAGCUCCCCCAAACUACCACAUACCAGACAAUAACAAAUAAAGCACAUACUAGGUCUUGCCCACUGCAUCAGAUCGAAGUCCAGACUAAUUGGGGCCUUGCCCCCUGCAUUGGACCGAAAUAAGGACUAACUAGGGCCUUGCCCCCUGCAUCGGACCGAAGUCCAGACUAACUGGGGCCUUGCCCCCUGCAUCGGACUGAAGUCUGGACUAACUGGGGCGUUGCCCCUUGCAUCGGACCGAAGUCUGGACUAACUGGGGCCUUUCCCCCUGCAUCAGACCGAAUUCCAGACUGACUGAACAUAGCAUAACAUGAUCAUAGCAUAUAACAUAAGCACAUAUACUGCAUACUGCAUCGGACCGAGGUCCGGACUAAGGGCUUUUCUUUCCUUUCUUGGUCUUUUGGAUUCUGGGUAUUACACAAAAUAAACACAUGAAAAUUUGACACCAUAUUCGUGUAAAAGAAUAUACAACCUAAUUUUUUGUAUGUUAUUUCAUCUUUACACCAAGAUGCCACAAGAAAUAGAGUUUAGUUGCAGAUGAGUUUAAAUCAAAAAAUAUAAAAAAAAUAAGAUUUUGGGUGAGGUUGGAGAUGAGAUUAGUGCAACACCCUUUGUAUAGACUAGUUGAAAAUGUAAUUUCUUAUAAAAUCUUUUAAAAUAAUCUUUGUUAAAUUGCGGAAUUUGGUCCAAAAAACAUCAUUUUUAUAGUUUAAAAUCCAAAAGUUAGGAAUUUCAAAAUACGAGGGUAUUUAAAUUCAUAUAUCUUUACAAAAGUUUAAAUACACUAUAAAAUUUAUGACAACUCUAUUUCCUCCACAUUUGGGAGUGAAUGUCAAAAUAAUAUAUUAGAUUUGAGAAGCCUAGUGAGUAAUACUGGAAUCCGACUAUGAAAUUGUAUUGGGUAGUUGUAAUAGCCCAACUCCUCAGUCAUGAUCCCUAAAUACAUUUAUAAAAUAUUUUCUGAUGAGUUAUUAAACAACUCUUUGAUCGAUUAGAUCUUUGUAACAGGUAAGUGAUGAACGUAAAAAUAGUAAAAACAAAACACAAGUAUGAUUCAGAAUGUGUCGAAUGAUUAGAUUACUCGAUCCUCAGCAGAGCUCGACUAAGAACUUCCACUGUAGAGGAUUCUAGGGUUACAAAAUAAGAACGAUGAAUAUGCUGAACAAUACUUUUCUAAUCGUUUCUAAUCAUUAUGUUCUAGGAUGCAUGCAAGCAUCUAUUUAUACUAAACCCUACAAAACUCACGGUUGGACAGGCCCAUACCGGAGAUAUACAUUGGACUAGCUAACGAGCCCAAUGGACGCAACACUAUACUGAUCCUAACAAUCUCCCCCUUUGCGUCAAUUUGGAGCGAGACUAUCAUUUCUUCUUGCUUGUACCAACAGCGAGAGCCUUCUUUACUGUAUCGAACAGACAUGUGAUAAGUGCAAGGAUUGUCUGUCUGAAGCGAAUGUACCAUUGAAUCAUGUCGUCAAAGUACUUGAUAUCAUCCGCUGUGUUCAGCUUGCAUCGAUGGAUGAUCCCUAAAACGUGUUCCAAACAGGCAGUGGUGUAGAGAUGUUUGUCUGCCAAGGCAAAAAGACAUUUUUGUCCUUCGUUUCUGGUAAACAUGACAGAGUUUCUCUUUGGGUCAAUCUUUCCCAUCUGCAUCAUGUUGAGAUCAUUGGCAGAGCCAACAAGAGAUAUGGUAGGCUUUUUCUUGAAUACGCUCGCUAUCUCCUGAUCCAUCAGAGCAACUUCCAUGACAUAGCAUACAAGCAUCCUCUUAAAGUGGUCGAUGAUCGGACCAUAUUCAGCUUCGUUUGUAAGAAGAAUGUUGUGCAAGAUAAUCCAGUCAUGGGGAUUAAGGUUGGGAAGAUCUGCAAGUGAGAUGGCAUGUUCGGUCUUGGCAGAUCCCCGUAGUACCUUGAACCGAACGUUGGUGAAGUUGCCUUCCCUGAACGGCUUUAGGACCCGAACAUUGACGAUUUUCUGAGCGCUCCAAGUUUGGUAUUGUGGUUGAGCUGCCCUCAGAUAAAAUUCGACUAAGUCCCGAUCAACCUGUGGAUGAGGAUGGGGGAACUCAGCAAUGUUGUCAAAGGCAUGAAAAACAAACGCCUUUCGGGUCAGUGGCAUAUCAAACUGAGAGUCGACAGUGUUAGAACAAUCUAAAGAGAUCACAGGUUCUAGCCACAAGAUACUUGGUGUUUCAAUGGCUUCUUUAAUCAGCUUCUCAAGAGUCCAGGGAGGAAAAAAAGUUUUCCUGCUCUCGAGAAGGUCGUGGGCUUCUUUCUGUCUUCUUUCAGCUUCUUCAGCCUCUCUAGCCACACGAGCACUGAUGUCAGCCUCUUUAUCUCGACCCUGUCGUUUCAAAAGGGUGGCAAUUGUCUCCUUAUCAUCUUCAUCACUCUCCUCAGCAAUAUUCUUGCCUUUGUCUUUCACACCAGAACCGGAGGCUUGGCCUACUGGAGGAGGUUCGGUUGUGUGUGUUGUUGUUGAAGUAGGAGGCCGUUGAGACAUAUUCACUUUUUCUCCCCCUUGUUUCGAAAUGGACACGAAAUCAAGGAGCCCUUCAAUUUUGCUCAGUAGAGAGAGGGCGGGAGCAAGCUUCUCUGCAAGGUCACGCCUCACAGAAUAAUUGAGGAUCGGGUCAUGUGCUUCAAGGAUGUUUGAGAUAGCUGAGUGGACAUCCGAAACACACGAUUUAACCACCUCUCUUUCAGAUCGAAGAGAGUCAAUCUCCUGUUGAGAGUUGGAGAGUUGAGUACUCUUGACCUUCAGAGCGGUAGUCUUCCUUGCGAGAGCAUCCAUGAGAGAGUUCUCAGCAGCUAAGUCUUCUUGAAGCUUGGAGAGACGCUCCUCAAUGGUGGUUCUGAAAGCUGAGUUGUCAUCAGAAAUUGUUUGACGAAGUGAAGCGAACGACUUCAGCUCUGAUGCGACUGAGUUAGCCAGCUGGUUGACAAUGGGUUCCAGUUUUGUCGUGGUGGCUUCAGCAUUUUCCUGUAAAGAUUUCAACAAGGAAGAAGCAUCAGUGAAUAGUUUGUCGACUUUUCGGUCGCUGCCUCACAAGCUUUGGUUGAGGCGUCAAUGGCUGCAGUGGCGGAAUCAAGAGAAACUUGAUGAGCUUUGGAAAAAGCAUCAACAAUUUUCUGAAUGGCAGCUUUAGAUAUUGAGGAUUGUGAGGUGGAAGAUGAGGCAAUGAGCGAAUCGAUUUUAUCAUGUAGCUCCUUGAGAUGUCUCUUUGUGAUAGGAGCAUCGUCAUCAUCGUCACUUUGAACUUGAAACGGACUGUAAUAUACCGAAUCAAAGGUCAUGUCCUCCCCGCCAAGAAGUGGUUCUUCAUCCUCUGAUUCAUGAGUAGGAGAAGAUGGUGGUGGUGAAGCUUGAGGCUCGGUAGUAGUAGUAGUAGGUCUGGGUUGGGUGGUUUGUUCGGUUGUUGGUGUGGGUUCGGGUGUUGAGGUGGAUUUGGGUGCGUCAGUAUGAACCCCCCGUAUCAGAUAUGUUGGUUCUAACGUCUGCAGUGGUGGUGGUUGUUGCUUCAGUAAAUAUAGGUGGUGGUACUGGGAUGGAGGUGGAUGGUAUUUGAAUGGUGGAGGUUAUGGGGGGAAUGGAAAUAGGAAUUGUAACUUGUGGAGAGGAAAUAGGAGAAGUGGAAAUAUGAAUCUCUGGUGUAGGCGAUCGUGGUGGAGUGUUACCACGUUGAGAUCCAUCAGAAUCAGAACCCUCUUCCUCAGAUUCGCUUGAGGACGAAGCGAUGAUUAGCUUUCGCCUUGGUUGGGUUUUUUGCUUCUUCACAGGAGGGGAUUGGGCGGCUUUGGUGGGUUUCCUCUUCUUGGGAGAUGGGCCUUUUUCUCCCUUUGCAACCUGCUUGCCCUUAUCAGCCUUCUUUCCUCUGGGGGCAGGCUUGUCAGCAUCAUGAAUCGACUUCAGCAUUUCUGGAGUAAGGUCUCUCGGACCAGACCGUCGGAACUCUUUGUACGUUUGAAUGAUCCGACUGUCGGCAGGAACAUCACCAUACAUUGUUUCAGGGAUUGAACCGUUGAAGGGAAAUCUUGAUGCAUCAGAGAUAAUGAUCUUCGUGGUAUGGAAAGUACCAAUCGAAGACAUUGGAGCACCAACGAAAAUGGGAACGUGGUACUUGUCCAUCACCCAUUUCGUGACAAGAGUCCAGAACCUGGCAUAUGAAAUCUCUGAAUGUCGAGAAGUGGAAGAGAGACUUUGAAUGAGUUGUUGCCAUAGGCCCGACCCGUAGUCCAUGUUGAUACCAUUGUAGAUCCUGAACAUGAUUGAUAGGAACAGACGACUUGCCCCAUCUGAUCCAACACUUCUUUCAGACAAGCCCUUGAAAAUCACAGUAAACAUCCCAUUCCACUGAGGGGGCAGGCACGAUUUCUAGAAUUUCGUGACCGUUGUGAGCACCUCAGUGUACCCCAUGUUGUAGAACAUGUUGAACAGAUGACCCAUCGGAAUGGUUUCAGGAUUAACCCUCGACGAAUCAGGUUCAAACCCUAACAGCGUACAAAACCUCUGCUUGGAAAUCGACGCCUUGUGCUCGAAGACAUCGAAGAAAAUCCUGUCGACGACCUUGUCGUAGUGAGCUGUGGCAAAAAUCUGUGACAGGAACUCCAUGGGAACAGCUUCAGCCCUGGUAAGAGCAGGAGCGAUUGGCGAGUAUUUCAGGCAUUCGAUGAUGGGAAACAUGAACACGUCGUAUGCCUGAGGAGUAAGAUCAAUGAUCAAACUCUGCUGGGGACGAAUAGGCAAGAUGUGAGAAGUUGCGUGAACUGAUGAAGAAUCCACCAUUAUUGUGAUGAAGAUGGGAGAGAUGAUGAACAGUAGAGGUUGAAGGAUUUUCUUGCUCUCUGGAAAUAUAGGUGCAGUAAAGAGGUAAGCGGUGGUUUACAUUGCCUUUUAUACUAUGGGUAAAGGAGAGAGAAGAAUCUUUCCCAAAUCUUCGAUUGAAAAACGAAGAGUUUUUCGGAGGCGUUUGACGCGUGACAGUUGGUGUUGCCGAUGAUUACGCAGGAGAGAGAGUGUCAGUCCCUAAUUACACGCCUUCCCAUCAGGCGCUGUUUGGAGAUGAAACGGUUCCAAUUCGCACACUUUGCCUUCUUGCGCCGUUUGAAAUCAAAUCGAUUGGACUCCCGCCUGAGUCAUCAUUUUGUCAUCUUAUCCCUUUAGAGUUUAGCGACAUCUUUAAAAUAAUGUUGCCCACAUGGAUCAAUAUCAAUCACAACCUUUUUACAACAACCAAUCCAAUUAAAAUGUCUUGAAAUUAAUGAAACCAGAAUUUUGGAAAAUCAAAAAUAUUUUCGUGCUGAGUGUGUAAAGGAAAAAGAAAUAAAGCAACACUUUUGAGGGAUUAGGUGAUGUCAAUAAAGAAGCGAAACAAUUGAUCCCGGGCACGAAUCUCUUCCUUCAAAGUUAAGAGAGACCUUAAAGUGUUUGUGUGGUUUCCCGUUGAAUAACGAUCAGACACUUAUUAAGAAGUGUUGAAAGGCUUCUUUUAAUUAGGCUUAUGAGGGUGGCUUUCGCUUCGAUUCAUAAUUCCUGAUCUUGAUAUAAGAUAGAAAUCGAACGAAGUACUUGUGAGACCAAUGUAGUCUGUUGAACAAGUAGGUUGGAGAUAAUUUAAGUGGCAAGGUAAACUAAUGUAUGCGAAAUCUCAAAAAAAAAAUAAAAAUAAAACUGGAUCCCAAGGGAAGAAAUGUUAUUGGAUUUAACAAUUUCAUAGGAAUCACUCAAAAGAAAAAUAGAGAUUUCAUGUUGUACCCCCAUGGAUAAGUCCGUCAAUUCAUUAGUGAAAGCUAGAGCAAGUUAAUUGUUCACCGUCAAUGCAUAGUAGGUAUUGAAUUGUGGGUUUCACUUAGCACGUAGUGACACGAAGCUAAGAUCAUGAACACAGAAAUUGUGCAACCAUAAACCUCAGUGGUAAUGUCUGAGAGUCUCAAGGGUUACGUUUGUGAAGCGAAUGAGAUGGAGAAAAAGUAAUGUAGAUGGUGUAAAGAGACCAAAGUACCUCUGCUGUGAAAAAUAAGGACUAAGCAGAAAACUCUUAUCUCAUGUGAGAAGAGAGUUAGGUAGCUCAUGAUUAGAAUAAAUAUGAGAGCCUAAUUGGGAAGACAAGGUUUGUUUGUACCAAGUCAGUAAGGCUUUUAUUCAGAAUCAGGUGAGGCUUUGGACACAUACAACAACAUGCUUCUAGGGACACUUAGCUAGUGCAAUGAUUUACCCACAAAGAGACAUACAAAAAGAUAAGAGCCAAAAUGAAAAUAACAUAAAGAAAGAAAAGAAAAAAAAUUAUUUUUCGAGUCUUUGAAUUUUUUUAAAAAAUUAAAAAAUAUUUUUGGAAUUUUUGAUAAAAAGGAAAAUAAGACAUAAAAAAAAUGAAUACAAAAAAAUGUAGUAACCGAACCCGAGCGUUCGGUUUAUUUCGGUUGAGAAAAUUUUGGAACCGAACCCGAGUGUUCGGUCUAUAUCGGGUGAGAAAAUUUUUUGGAAUCGAACCCGAACGUUCGGUCUAUUUCGGUUGCCAAAAAAAAGUUUGAAAAAAGAAAAGAACUUUGACAAUAAGAUAAAUGAAUUUGGAAAAAUAAUACAAAAGAUUUACAACCAAAGAAACUACCUUUGAGUGAUAAGCGAAGAUCAGAUGAUACAACCGAACCCGAGCGUUCGGUUCAUUUCGGUACACCAGAACAAGACCCGAACCCGAGCGUUCGGUUCAUUUCGGCAUACAUGAGAACCGAACCCGAACGUUCGGUCUAUUUCGGUUGCCAAAAAAAAUAAGUUUGAAAAAGAAAAGAACUUUGACAAUAAGAUAAAUGAAUUUGGAAAAAUAAUACAAAAGAUUUACAACCAAAGAAACUACCUUUGAGUGAUAAGCGAAGAUCAGAUGAUACAACCGAACCCGAGCGUUCGGUUCAUUUCGGCAUACAUGAGACCCAAACCCGAGCGUUCGGUUCAUUUCGGAAUACAUGAGACCCAAACCCGAAUGUUCGGUCUAUUUCGCUUCUUACUUUUGAUCUGGAGAGGUAAUUUUUGGUACUGACUCCGAUUCCAUCAUUCCUAGCCCUUGUAGAAUUUUGUUGAAAGAAGCUUCAGGAAGAGCUUUGGUGAAGAUGUCAGCCAGUUGAUCAGUGGUUCGAACAAAAUGAAUUUCGACGUUCCCAUCUUCCACAUGAUCCUUAAUGAAGUGAUACCUCAGUGCUAUGUGCUUAGUCUUGGAGUGUUGCACUGGGUUAUGACAGAUCCUAAUUGCACUUUCAGAGUCGCAAUAUAGUGGGAUCUUUUUCAUAUUGAGUCCAUAGUCCCGGAGCUGGCUUUGGAUCCAAAUCACUUGAGAUGUACAGGAGGCAGCUGCGAUGUAUUCUGCUUCAGCUGUAGACAGAGAUACACAAGUCUGUUUCUUUGAUUGCCAGCUAACCAACUUCCCGUCAAGGAAUUGGCAGCCUCCAGUGGUGCUUUUCCUGUCUAGUCCACAACCUCCAAGGUCUGCAUCUGAGUAGGCUUGAACGAAGAAACCUGAGUUUGAUGGAUACCAUAAGCCGAGAGAGGUAGUUCGUUUUAGAUACCGGAGUAUGUUCUUCACUGCAAGCAUAUGAGGUUCACGAGGAUUCGCCUGAAAUCUAGCACAGUAACAAACAGAAAACAUUAUAUCAGGCCUGCUAGCAGUAAGGUACAUUAAAGAACCGAUCAUCUGGCGAUAUAGCGUAAUAUCGACUGCUGGCUUAUCCAAGGAUGGAGUGAGCUUGGUGCCGAACGCCAUUGGAACUUUAACCUUUGAGUCUCCCAUCAUGCCGAAUUUAGCAAGGAGAGUCUUGGUGUAGGCUUCCUGGUUAAUAAAGAUGCCUUCGGGUCCCUGUCUAAUAUUUAAACCAAGGAAAAAGUUAAUCGGACCCAUUGAGCUCAUUUCAAAUUUAGUCUCCAUCAGCUUUCUGAAUUCAGCUGUUAAGCUAGGAUUCGUUGAGCCAAAGAUGAUAUCAUCGACAUAGAUUUGAACAAUCAUAAGGUGGUUACCUUCCUUCUUACGAAAGAAGGUUGGGUCAACCGAACCUUGUUUGAAUUUGGACAUCUUUAAAAACUUGGUUAGCACUUCAUACUAGGCCCUAGGUGCUUGUUUCAGCCCAUAAACAGCUUUGUCCAGAAUAUAGCAGUGAUUGGGGUACUUUUCAUUGACGAAUCCCGGAGGUUGCUCCACGUACACCGUUUCUUCAAGUUCUCCAUUUAGAAAUGCGCACUUUACGUCCAUUUGGUAGACCUCAAAGUUCUUGUGUGCAGCAUAGGCAAGAAAUAUUCUAACAGAUUCCAGCCUAGCUAUAGGGGCAAAAGUUUCCUCAUAAUCGAUUCCUUCCUCCUGGCAAUAUCCUUUCACCACUAGACGAGCUUUGUUUCUUAUCACAUUGCCUUCCUUGUCCAUUUUAUUUCUGAAGACCCAUUUGAGACCAACAACCGAGGCAUCUUUAGGAGUUGGAAUGAGGCGCCAAACCUUAUUUCUUUCGAACUCAUUAAGUUCGUCUUGCAUAGCUUGAACCCAAUCAGAGUGAUCAAGAGCAGUGUUUACUGUUUUUGGUUCAACUUUUGAGACGAAAGAGUUAAACAUGCAGAACUCUACUUUUGAGAAUAGAGAUGCUUGCUUUGCCUUCAGUUGAGAUGGGGCUAGGACCUUUUCGGAGACAUUACCCACUACCUGUGAAACGGGAUGAUCUCUGGUCCACUUGACAAGAGCUGGGUAAUUUGGAUCAUAGGAUUGAUCCAAUUCAGCAUUUAACAUUUCUUCUAAUUCAGAUUGACUAUCAUUGUCAUAAAACAUAUCGGCAUUCUCCCCCCUCGACUGAUGAGCUUUCAGGUGUAACGUGACUUUCCGGUGCUACAAGACUUUCGGGUGAAAUUGAGCUUUUGGGAGCUAUAGUACCUUCGGGUGCAGUAGAGCUUUCGGGUGCAGCUGGAGAAAAGUUCUCCCCCUCAACUUGAGAACUUGGCUGUUUUGAAGAAAAUGGAUUCUCCCCCUCAACUGAAGCACCGUGCUGAGGAGGUUCAUUUGGAAUUGAUACUCCUUCAUCCAUUUGUUUGGCAGCGUCUUCGACGAUUUGCUUCAGAUGGUUAACUUUGUUGUCUACUGCAUUAGCUUCUGAGAGAGUAGCCUUCUCCAGUUCAUCGAAUAACUCCACAAACUGCUCAAAUAAAUUUGCAAUCGAGGCCAUGACUUGGGUUGUUUGAGAGAAAAUUCUCCAACUGUUUCUUCAGUGGCCUUCAGUUUCUUGACGUAGAUGUCAUCGAAAGUCACAUAAUACGUUUCUUCAAUCUUCCUCGAACGCUUGUUUAAAACCCGGUAUGCUUUUGAAGUAAGAGAGUAUCCCCGAAAAAUCCCUUCAUCGGCUUUAACGUCGAACUUGUUACGAUGUUCUUUAGAGUUGAAGAUAAAGCAUUGUGAGCCGAAUACAUGGAAGAAUUUAACGUUUGGCUUCCUGUUGUUGAUGAUCUCAUAAGGAGUAAGAGUGAAACGCUUAUUGAGAUAGGACCUGUUCUGCGUAAAACAUGCUGCAGCAAUAGCAUCAGCCCAGAAAUAUAGAGGUAGAGAAGCGAAACUUAGCAUGGUUCGGGCCGCCUCACACAAAGAUCGGUUUCGUCUUUCGACAAUCCCGUUUUGUUGAGGGGUGUAGGGGGCUGAGAAGUUGUGACUGGUUCCUUUUUCUACCAAAAAGUCUUCAUAUUCUUUAUUUUUGAACUCCAGCCCAUUGUCACUUCUGAUGUUGCGAACGACUUUCCUCAGUUGCACUUCAACCUGCUUAAUAAACAUCUUUAGCUUGUGAGUUGCCUCAGAUUUGUGUUUCAGAAAGAAUACCCAUGUAAAACGUGAAAAGUCAUCGACAAUAACAAGAAUAUACUUGCUAUCGCUAAUGCUUUCGAUGGAUGAUGGACCACACAAGUCAAUGUGAAUUAACUCAAGUGGUUCAACGACUUUAGUGUUUAUAAUGGAUGGGUGACUUUGAUGACUAUGCUUCCCCAUUUCACACGCAACACACAAAUGUAAUCGAUCAAACUUGAGCAAUGGAAGACCCCGAACAUGACCUCCUGUGACAAGUUUGUUGAUAUCCUUGAAAUUGAGAUGGGAGAGCCUUCGGUGCCACAGCCAGCUUUCGUCAGAAUGUGCUUUGGAUAACAGACAGAUAGCUGGAUUUCCUUUGAUAGGUUUGAGAUUGAGAGGAAACAUUUCGCCUUUGCGCUCUGAUUUGAGAAUCACUCUUUUUGUUUUCUUCUCUAUUAUUUCCGAACCCUCAUCGUCAAAUGAAACUUUAAGACCGGUACCUCCAACAAGCUGAGAUACACUGAUGAGGUUAUGCUGUAGUCCUUCAACGUAUGCAACCUUUCUAAUCGUGAAGUCUCCAUUUGUUAUCAUCCCAUAACCUUUUAUCGUGCCAUAUGAGUUGUUCCCGAACUUGACAUUCCCGCCGUUUGGAAGAGAUCGAAAUUCCCUCAGCUCUUCCUUCCUUCCUGUCAUGUGACGUGAGCAGCCACUGUCAAUAUACCAUUCUUCGUCGAACUGCUCGUCACUGAUAACCUGCAAAAAUCAAGCAGAUUUAGGAACCCAAAGUUUCUUGGGUCCACGUGAGCCUUUCACAGGAACAGGAAUAGUAAGAGAAAUGUCAACAAGAUAUGUUCUUUUUAUUAAAGUUGUUUCAUCUUUCUUCUUAAUAGUGAAAACUUUAAUUUUGUUAGGAUUUGUUACAGUCGGUUUGGAUUCAGGUUCAGGCGUUUGGGCCUUGGAAUGCUUUUGAUCAUUCUUGACUGAGGAAACCUUCGAUUUUCCUUUCAAAUCUGUUGAAGAUUUUGGAUUUUGAGUUUGAACAGAAUUGGAUUUAGAAUGGGGUUGAGAAGAAUUAGAAUGAGAGAAUUUAGACUGAGAUGUUUUCUUGACUUGAGGUUCUAAGUGACCCUUUAGGUUUUGGUCAUUAGUGGGACCGAACCUUCAACCUUGAUAGCUUUUGCUCUCUGAACCGAACCUAUGCUUUCGGUAGCUAGUGCUCUCUGAACGGAACCUUUCCCUUCGGUUGUUAUUCCUUUCUUGCGGCCUGACAGUACUUUUCUCUGACUUUGAAUUUUUGUCAUGAUAAGAGAAAUGGGCGUUUUGAGAUCGCCAAAACUGUUUUCGCUCUGAGAGAUUCUUUUUGUAUCUCAGAUUCCUUUGCUUCUUUUGAUCCUUCAUUUGCUUCGGCUGUCGAUGGAUGUUGGCUUUUUGCUUUUGUUUCCUGUCAGCUGGUUCACUUUUAACAGAUGAUGUUUCGCUUGAAGGAAUGACUUCUUCUACGGGAACUCCUUUUGUACCACUGGUACUUGGCACAUCGAAGUUGUCAGGCUUGUUUAGUGGCUCUGGCACAUAUCUGCCUUUGAUUUUCCAGGACGUUCGCUUUGACAGACCAAUGGUUUCGUCAGCAUUAUGUAUAGAAGCAGACCAGAAAAACUCAUCACAGCCAUCUGCACUAUCUUCGUUUACUAUGGCGGUGAGUUCGGCUGUCUGAUGUUCGGUUACUCCUAUGACCUUANCCAACGGUUUCGUCAGCAUUAUCUAUAGGAGCAGACCAGAAAAACUCAUCACAGCCAUCUGCAUUAUCUUCGUUUACUAUGGCGGUGAGUUCGGCUGUCUGAUGUUCGGUUACUCCUGUGACCUUAUACACCUGAUUUGGUGUUGUUCUCACCUUUUGGUACACAACAGCCUUUUCUUCAAGAAUCGGGGACUUAUUUUGGGACAAACGAGCAAACUCCACAGAAUUUUCAGAAAUAAGAUUUUUGUGGUUUUCGGGUUCGCUCUUGACAAACUCAGAACAGUCAACUUCAUCCUCUACAGAAAUUACGCUCAUAUCAUCAUCCUCAUUAAGCUCAGACGCGUUUUCAACAUCAAUUUUAUUUUCUGAGCUCAAGUUGGCAUUCAAUGAGUCAAAUUUUUGUAUGGUUUCGGUCCUUAGUUUCAGUUUAUCGUUUUCAUCCAAAAGGUUUUUCAGCAUGUCCUUAUGGUCCUUGGACUUUAUAAAAGAUUCGAUUUUGUCCAGACCAUACAUAUAAGUCGGAUUCACAUCAUCAGACGAAACUACACUUUCGCAAUUAUAUGCUUCAGCAUCGAUUUCAUCCUCCUUAAACUCAAGGAAGGGCAAAAUCAUGCGAUGAAUUUUCUGCCCUAUUUCACAGUUCAGAUGAAGUUGAGUGAUGUUAGCAUAAAGACGUUUAGCAAUUAAACAAAAAACAUUUCUCUGUUUCAGAAGUUUUAAAUUGUCUCUUUGUAAAUAAAUGUUUUUGUCCUUAGAUUUUAUCAGCUCCGACUCCUUCAGCUCUAUCCACAUCCUCCGUUCCUCACUCUUGGAUGACACCCUGCUUAUUUGGUCAGUUAGGUUAGAAUUGGUGACCCGUGUUUGAGUUAAACUGCUAUCUAGAUUUGAGAUUCUUGAAUUUAAGCUUUUUAAUUCUUUUUCAUAUGAAUUUUGUGGGACUUUGAAUGAAACAAAAAUGGAUUGUACCUUCUUGAUCAAUUCAUCAAGCUCAUUGAUCUGCACACUGAGAGGUUUUGCUGUGAAGCAUAAGUCCUCUCGCUCCUUGGUGUCCUCUUUCCCACCGUCUGUAUUGUAUCCCCUCAUUUGAGAUACAUCUGUCACCAUCAAACACUUCCCACUGCUUUCAUCACCUCUUGCAACAUACGCCUUUCCAUGAGAUGGCUUCCUGACUUCAUCAUCCUCUGAGUCGGUUGACCAGACCUGCACGCCACCGAACUCAUCAUCCGCUGCCGAACCCUGCACAAUUAAAGCAUUCAUCGAAGGAUUAGUAGCAGCUUUCUUUCUCUUGAUCUCUUCCAGCUUUUUCAUCAACACAACCUCUUCAUCUUUUUCCUCAUCCUUUUCUGCCAUUUUCUUCAGGACACAGUCUUUGGUAUAAUGGUUCUUUCCUCUACAAUAGUAACAGUUCACACCAGAAUCUCCUUCAACUUUCACCUCUUUCUUUGGUUCUUCUGUCUUCGGUUCAUCCUUAACCUUUUCAGAACUGUAGCUUCCCUGCCAAUUUCGGUUCUUAUUGGUAGGGAACCUUUUCUUAAUGAACCUCUUUGGAUUCGACACCAUCAUUGCAUAGUCUUCAGAAGUAAGAUCAUAGUCUUCUAAGUUGAGAUCUUCAUCUUCUACCACACUUUUGCUUUUAGACAGGAGUGCCAAGGACCCCAAACUUGAGACCACAUUUUUCUCUUGCAAGACAAUCUUUUCUUGGGAUUUCAGAAUCCCCACCAGCUUUGCCAAUGAAUAAGAUUUAAAUUGCUCAUGAGCUUUAACAGUGGACACAACCGCUCUCCACUCGGAUCUAAGGCCAUUCAAAAAGGUUACUUUUUGUUCAAUCAGCUUCCUUUCUAUAUCGUGUUUGAUCAUCUUGCUAAGAAGAUGAUUGAAGCGAUCAAACGUCUGAGUAACAGUUUCAUCAGAAUUCUGUUUAAAUUCACCAAACUCAGACAAAAGCAAGGUCUGAAUAGAAUGCUCCAAAUCUUCAUCUGUGGAAUAUAGCUCUCGCAGCCUAUCCCAGAUUUCUUUAGCGGUGCUGCAUGAACUCACCAGCCUGAAUGUAUCUGAUUGAAGAGCGAAUCGAAUCAGUCUCAAUGCUUUAAUGUUGCACUGAAACUUUUCCUUUUCGUCUUGAGCAACAUCCUUUACGUCCUUUAACAGAUCAUUAUACUCUUUCUGAGUUUUAAUGAUUUUUGAUGUUCCUGAGUGAGCAAAUGGUCCAGAUACGAUUGCUUCCCAACUAAGGUAUCCAUUGUCUUCAGAUCCGAUGACAUAAUCUUCAAAAUGAUGCGCCCAGACUUCGUAAUCCUGGGUGUAAAGAAUAGGAAUCUUCGUCGUUGAUCCAAUGCUAUUUGAGAUGUUGAUGGGAUUAGAUUGUGACUCGUCCAUGCUUGAUCGUUUAACCUGUUUGAAAGAUCAGACUUGUAAUAUGUAAUAUUAGGGUAAAACAAAUAAAUGCUGAGUUACGUCAAUUAUGGAAUGACGGCUCAAUAAAUAUUAGUUAAUGUGGAAUAACCCUAAUCGCAAACUCUUUCACAGAAAAGAUGUGUAUGAAUUACACAGCCUCCUGCUCUGAUACCAAUUGAUGAGUUAUUAAACAACUCUUUGAUCGAUUAGAUCUUUGUAACAGGUAAGUGAUGAACGUAAAAAUAGUAAAAACAAAACACAAGUAUGAUUCAGAAUGUGUCGAAUGAUUAGAUUACUUGAUCCUCAGCAGAGCUCGACUAAGAACUUCCACUGUAGAGGAUUCUAGGGUUACAAAAUAAGAACGAUGAAUAUGCUGAACAAUACUUUUCUAAUCGUUUCUAAUCAUUACGUUCUAGGAUGCAUGCAAGCAUCUAUUUAUACUAAACCCUACAAAACUCACGGUUGGACAGGCCCAUACCGGAGAUAUACAUUGGACUAGCUAACGAGCCCAAUGGACGCAACACUAUACUGAUCCUAACAUUUUCAUAAUUAUUAAACCAUUUUCCAAAACAAUUCUCAACAACAUAUAAGUUAAGAGUAAAUAAAACUGUAUUGAAAUGAUGCAAUACACAUGCAUCUAAUAUGUACUCAGUUAAUCUACUGUCAAUGAAGGCCUACACUUUAACAACCUUUGCUAGGGUCUAGUUGGAAUCUAUUUUAAUUUAAAAGUCCAAAUAAGUUGAGAGUUAAAUAUACAUAAAUAACGCGGUCCCAAAACACAAAUGUUUUUAAAUUUAAUGUAGCAAGGUUGUUAGCAAUAAAUGUAUAAAAAACACUUGUUCAAGCUCACCGAACAGUGUAUUUGUGCAUAUUAUUAUACCUUCAACGUGUGUAUAUGUCAAAAAAAUAGGCAAUGGAUCUGCCUACUGAGCAUACCCUAAGUGGAUUCAUUUUGAGUAAGAAGAUAUCAAUCUAGCUUACUUGAAUCGGCCUCUUAAAAACCAUUUUAUUCAAAAUCAUUUCCAAAAAGAUUUAUGGGUUCAUGACCCGAUUCUUAUCUAAAACUAUUUCAAACAUAUUAGGAUCUAUUUUCCCGAAAUAACAAUUAAAGGACUAUUUCAAUAAGUCAAGAUUUAAUGACCCAAAUCAAGUUCAACAAAACCAUUUCAAAUAAGUUGGUAUUUAUGGACCCAAAUCAACUUCCCAAAACAAACAUCAACCUUAAACUAACAUUUUUAAGUUAAUCAAAAAAAUCAAAUAUUGAAUUAGUUGAAAAAUGAGAUAAACAAAUAAAAGAAUUAAUGCUAUGCAACAUGCAACUGUCCUAAAACGCAAGUUUCUUUCAAGAAGUUCAAUGUCAUAAAUUUGAUGGUUAGCUCUCGAGUAUGAAGGAAUGUAUUCAAAACAUAUGAUAUGUACUUAUAAAUGAGUGUACUCCAAACACAACUAAUGUGGAUGAUGCAAGAAGGAGCAUAUUCCAAACAAACAUAUCCUAAAUGCACAUCAUACGCUAGAUAUUCAUAAAUUGUCACUUAAAUACCACACAUUGGGUAGCUAUCUCACUUGUACAUAGUCAAGUUUAUCUAGAAGUCUCUUCCGUUCAUCUUACAUCAUUUUGGGCGAUCAUGUAUGGAUAUAAUGAGGGACUCACACUGGCACCCAUCCUCGAAUGUUAGCACUUGGUAAAUUCCCAAAAUCAUAAGGCAUCAUAAAACCCCAUUUCAGAAUAAAACAACAAUUCAUCAUGAAUCAUAAUUUCAUCAUAAAAAGCAUGUAAUGUCACACCCCCAAACCAAAUUGGUGGAAAUAUUCGGGGGCGUAGGACGUCAUGUCAAGUAUCACAACACAUGUAAUAUAGUAAGCAAAGUACAACAACCAUUUCAUUAAAAAUGUAUAAGUUUUUACAUAAGUUCAAACAUUAAGCAUUCAACAUCAAAAGUAGAUAAAGAAAGAAACAAAGGAUGCAACUCGGUACUACGCGGUCUUCGCAAAAGCUCCUGGAGUGUACCUGUCUACUGGAUUCCUAAGAAUACAAGUUAUUUUGAAAGAGAGGAUCAACAUUUAAUGUUGGUUAGUUCAUAAGUAUUUAGUUAUGGUUGUUUAGUUUUAAAAAAAUGACUGAGUUUACUCCAAAAAGUCCUAUACUUUAUGCUUUUACAACUAAAAAGUAGUUUUACUCCAUAAAACCGUUCCUUUGUUUGUAGAAAACAAUUAAUACAGUAGUACUUAUUAAGCAUGCACUAGCAUGCACUACCAAUGCCAUCACACCCCAAAUAAUAAUAAAGUUAUUAAUUUCGGUUACCUUGUGAUAAGUUUAUAAACCAUAAAUCUAUACUAUUGGUGUAGUGACUACCCUGUAAAUUAAGAUUAUUAAUUAGGGUUACAAUGUGAUAAGGUUGUAACCAUGCUGAUUGACGGCAAAAAACAUGACGACCUUCUGGCGUCGAAACUGUAGAUGUGACAUUUGUCACCCCUUAGCCUUGCCGGUUAGGACUAUAGCUAGUAGUCGGGGUGUGAGAUUGUCUGUCUCGUAUAGAUCUAUACACACGAUGUCUGCUCUCCCUCCGAGAGACUCUGGUUACAGAACGGGAUACGGCAAAUGAACGGUUGUAUCCUGAAGUAGGAUUUAACAUUUUUUUGUUUAUUUGUAUUAAGUAAGGAUUGAAUGUUAUCCCAUUUCUAAAUAAAGUGGCUUUAAACAUGGUGGACUUAUCUAGUAAAAUAGGUAUUUCAUUUGUGUCAUAAAUUAUAAUUACUAUAAUUUAUAUGUUUUAUCUGAUUAGGAUGAUAAUUCAUGAAAGUACCCCUCUACUUAACAUGGAGCAAAGGUGACUAUAUUGGAUUGAGGUAAUUUUUCCGUUCCUAUAUAUACAUAUAUAUAUAUANNNNNNNNNNNNNNNNNNNNNNNNNNNNNNNNNNNNNNNNNNNNNNNNNNNNNNNNNNNNNNNNNNNNNNNNNNNNNNNNNNNNNNNNNNNNNNNNNNNNNNNNNNNNNNNNNNNNNNNNNNNNNNNNNNNNNNNNNNNNNNNNNNNNNNNNNNNNNNNUAGUAGUUUAUCGUUCAUAUACUUUUCUAACAUGUAUAACUAAGGAUUAACUGACAGUCGGAUGAUUGAUCCUACCCUAAGCCCACAACCAAACAAUGAACAGGAGUUAAGGCGUUACCAAUGAUCCUAACUUUGUUAAAGCUUACUUAAACAUAAAUAACUAUAUGAACAUGAUUUAAUAAACUAAAGUUUUGAGAAGUUUAAAAGAUAGUUCAAAGUUGUUUCUAACAUUUUAAAAGGUUUUAACCUGACUUAAGGUCAUUUUAGAAGUAUUUGGAGAUCUUCUAUUAUUAUCAAAAUCUUUAUAACAUGAAUAAAGUCUUUUUGGUGAUUUAUAUUAUAGAUAAAAUAUUUAACACAAUUUGUUUGUGUUCAACUGAUAUCCCCCCCCCCUAAAAGCAUUCAAAAUCAUUUAAAAAGGUAGACUAUAGGGGUAUGAACUCACCUUUGGUGGAAGUUUUGUUUGAAGACUUGAAUAAGAGUGCUAUACACACGAAUGAAGUCUCGAAGCACAAACGGAUUGUAAUCAUCAUAUAAUGAUACAUAUAAGCAUGAUAUUAGUGUUUAACACAACUAACAUGCAAGGAAACAACCUUAGGGACUAGGAAACACUGGAAAUGAAGUGUCACAAUCACAUGUGAUUGAUCAAGGUGAGUGUACGGCCAAGGGAAUGUGUUUAUGGCCAUACCAAGUGUGUAUGGUUGUACACACUCCAAGAAUGGCGAAAUCUGGAUCUUGAUGCAUGAGGAUUCAAGGGUUCAAGGGUAAUAAGCAUCUAGAAGUGUUUGAGGCUCAAGGUUAUCACCCUAAUAAGGGUGUACGACCAUAGAAAGGGGGUACGACCGUAUACUCUUGUUGAUCAUGAGUCUUAUGGUGUUUCAAGGCUAGAAUCAAGGCUUUAACAUGUCUAACUAGAUGAUAGGGUAAGAACUCUCACUUUAGAGGUCUUUUAGGGUGUGUACGACCAAUGAUCCUAUGAAGGGUUCACAGUCGUACACCCUUCAAGAUCAUGAGGUUCAUGUUGAAACAUGAAGAGUCAGGGCUUGGACCAAGAGGUCUUUCAAGUAUAACAAGUUUAAGGAUGAAACACUUACGUUUUUUAGGCUUUGGGGGGUUCACAGUUGAAGCAAGUUGAGAGAGAAUGGAGUUUUGUACGGCCCAAAGAAGAAAGGAAUGAAGAAAAUGAAGUGAUCUAAUAUGUAUAGGGGUGGGUGUCCGACCAUCUUGAGUCUACGUGCAUACACCCAUGUGUGUGGCCGUACACACCUCUAGAUGGUGUGUUUGGCUUGAAUGCAUUGUGUACUCAAUUUUAUUCAUCCCUAAACCCAAACCUUGAAUGCACUAGGCUUAAAGCACUAAAACCGACCCUAAACAAUGCUAGAAGAUAGCAGGAGCGAGUUUGUCUUUGGAUUGAUUGGCUAGAUUUAUAAGGAAAAAAAAAUUUCGGGUUGUCACAUGUUAUCAUAAAACAUCAAUUUUCUUUUAAAAGAAAUAUAUUUAAAUAUAACAUAUAAUAACUCAUCAUAAAUCAUUUUUAUCAUUAUUCCAACGUCUAAAGGUAAUCCUAUUUAUUUCCAAAAUCAUUUUUGUAUAAAACUUCCCCCUUGUAUUUACGCAAAUCAUAUAGCAUGUAAAAGCAUAUGAAGAGCACCAAAAAAUUCAUGGCAUAUUUGUAAAUCAUAUCAUGUGAAAACUUUUUAAAGGAAAGUUCAUAGUUUGGGAUAUAUGCUCGUAGUAAAGUCACCUUAGUUCAAUGCAAACAGUAUCACACUCUUGAUUACUUGACUAGACUUCUCCAAGCUUUAUAUUUUCAAGUCAGCACCCAAAUUCAUUAUCUUAAUGUUUUCAAAACACCAAUAUACCCUUGUUUGGGUCAACUCAUCAUUGUAUAGAGAUCCUGUGACAAUUGGGAAAACUUUGUCACUGACAGCCGUUAGAAAUUACCAUAGAUAAAUAAAUAUAAAUAUGAUUGAGUAUACGCUUACAUAUGGAGAUAAAUCAAAUUAUAGUCUCAAAGAUGAGUGUCUAAAAGUUGUACCAUCUUUUAAGUUGGUUAAUAUAUUCGGAAAGUACAUGACAAUGUGAUUCUAGGGAUAUAUGCUUCUUAAAAGUAUAACUAUGAUUGGAAGAGUUCUGAUUUUAUAAAAAGUAAAAUCAACUGCGUAAUUAAAAUUAUUAACGUCAAAAGAGGAUUAAGAAAUCGGUCGAGUUUUGGCUAGUGUCAUCAAAAGGAAAGUCGUAGUACUUCUCGAGAUGUGAACAUUAAGACAAAGAAUGUCAAAAACGGAGUCCGUUUGAGGAAGAUAUGAUUAUUAUAAAAUCAUUUAUAACCCUAUUAGUCCUAAAGGAUGAAAGUCAAAACAAGCCAAAAACAAUCAAAAGGGAAGUUGUAGUACUCAUUGAGCCCAUCAUAUAGACUGAAAGAGGGUAAAGAUCAAAGCUCAUACGCAGAGGUUAUGAUUUUUCUAAAAUAAUUUAUAUGCGUGUGUCAUGCACUGUGACAUCCCCAAAAUCUCAGCCAAAAAAGACUGAUUUUCAUUCAUGCUUUUAAAAUAUUUUCAGAGUAAAUCCUUUUGAUUUGAAAGAGUUGCGGAAUUUGUUCCCAAAAACAAAACAUGAUAAAACAAUGUUUACCAAAGCAUUUCAUAAAAGAAAUGUAUUUUCAUUAUAAUCAAAACUCGGGGUGUCAUGUUCCGAUACAGACCAAUAAGCAUAAACGAUAACAUUACAAGUCAUUCAACAAAUAUAAACAUAUACAGACUUGUAAACAAAACAACUUGAUGGUUCAUCCAUCUUAUGCCCUCGCGCCACUUCUUGUAGUACAAAUAAAACUGAGUGGGUCCGGCUUGGGAGCCUGGUGAGCAUAUAGGGUUUUCAACCCACAAUAAAUAAUCAUAUUUAAUUUUCACCAACCAACAAUAACCCAAUUACCCAUUCCCGUUAUUCUCACUUUAUGUCCCUAAAACAACUAACAUAAGGGACCUAGUCUAAGAAUAUUUCAUCAGGGUGACAACACAUGCUUCGGGGGUUCCUCAGCAAUAUAAUUCAAAUAAGGCAACCAUGAGGGGGAUGGAGUACAACGAAUGAACACCCAAGUUCAUUAACACCUACAGGUGGCGAACCUGCUAAUGUUUCCACAAGACUAUCUAGAAAAGUCUGUGGUCGUCAUCUAAACUCCGCUAGAUGACUAAAUCAAACAACAACGAGGCCUCUCAUCUGUUUAUUACACACCAACUAUCUACCCAUGUUCUACCCAACAUAUUAGUAGAUAAAAAUAUACAUUUGUAUACAUAGUUUAAAAACCUGUAUAGCAUGCUUUAAUCAACACAUAUUUCACAUAACAGAUGAGGCACACACACACAUAACACAUAUCUCAUAGAGAAUAAAUCAUAUCUAUGAGUUAGAAGAAAGUGAAUACACAUUCACACACAUAACCACAAAAUUAUACACAUAAUACGUAUUCCGUAUAAAAUACUUCAUAAUUAUGUGUUAGAAGAAAGUAACUACACACUCACUUGAUCAGAAGAUGAUCGGACAACACUACGACUUGCAGAAGUAGUAAUCCUCAGCAGAUCUGGAAGAUCUUCACAAAAAUCGAACUUCUCGCGGGCAGAGCUUCGGCUCGGGAACCGCACUUCUCGGGAUCUUCGGGAUCUCGGGACUUGCCUCGGGGCUUGAGUAUGAUACCGGGGCUUCGGGAUAUUUCUGGCACGCAAAACGAUGCAAAACAGGAGAGAGAAGAGAGAAAAUGAACAAAAGACUCGGCUGCCUUCGGAUCCUAUUUAUAGGAAGCUGGAGCCUCGGAGUACGCGGGGCGUACUGCAGUACGCGACGCGUACUGCUUCCGAAAUCGUCAUUGCAUGCAUCAUCCAAGCCACUUGCUGCGAGUGUCGACACCUUCGGAGUAUGCGGGGCGUACCUCGGAUCAGACCGGUGACUCCUUCGGAUAAUGCUUCCGAAUUUUCAAUUAAAUUUAAUUACAAAAUAUUUAAUAAACUUCGGAAAUUCAUAUCUUCUUCAUACGAACUCCAUUUUCGAUGUUCUUUAUAUCCUCGCGAAGGUGAGACUACGCUCUACAACUUUCGUUUAGACUCCGUCGGCUAAUUUCGACUUUAUUUUUAUUAUUUAUUUUUAAUAGGCCGCGACAGAAAAACUUCGUUAUAAAUUCAUAACUUCUUCGUUUGAUGUCCGUUAUCGCCUAACUUUUUAUCGCUUCGAUACCAACAACCAGACCUUCGAUCCUCGUUUAGAUUGUUUCGACUAAAAACCGCUUGAUCUCAAAUCGAGUGUUUCAGGCUGCACACCGCUAAGUCAAAACUUCAAUAAAUCAUAACUUCCUCAUACGAAGUCAAAUUUGGGCGUUCUAUAUAUAUUCGGAAACCUCGUUUCAACUACUACAACAUUAUUCAAAGAUAUUAAGUUUAUUUUACACUUAAUUUUGACGCUUAUUUUUAUUCUUAAUUAAUCAAAACACAUAAUUAAGCAAUUAAGCACAAAACAUAUAAUACUCAAAUAAUACAAUCUUAUUAUUUCAAAACGGGUUAUAGAAGUUAACCUAGACUAUUACAUUGCUAAAAAUGGCAAGCCCGGAAACACAGGCGUUACAUGCACGCCAUGCACAACGUGCACUAUGACCCCAAAUUUGAGAAGAUUGCUAGUGACGUGGCCCAGUGAGAGAGUGACACAUGGCAACACCCGGAUGGAGCAACGAACCUCAAGCGCGACUCACAUAGAUAUCUGCAUCAUGCACUCUGAAACACUCUUCUAUAGAUAUGAAGAUUCGUAAUCCCCAUUCUGCACAUCAUUCCAAAUAAUUCUCUUUCACUCUCUGGUCGAGAUGAUCCAUCUUGAGGCGACCUCGGAAGUUCCAAGCACCGAAUCUACCCUACAUCAAUGAAUCACACUACGAGGGUGCACGACCCAAAUUUUACUGAUUUCAAAUGUUUUAUUUGGGGGGGGGGGGUUAACACAUAUUAAAAACUAUAUUAAAAGAUUUUACAAAAAUGUUACUACUUUGUAAUAUAUCCAUAGUUUUUAAAAUGCAUGCAACAUUACGAUAAUAAUAUGCCCGGUAGUUACCCAACCUAAGCUUUAAGAAAAAUUUUAUGCCUAGUCGUUAUAAUGCCUAAAAUUACACUAGAAAAUUUUACCUAGUUGUUAUGUUGUCAUAUUCCUUAGAAUAAUCUAGUUACUAGUCGUUAUGCUGCCAAAAUUCAAGUAUAAGCAUUGUACCUAGUUGUUACUCUGCCCUAUAAUCCUAAGAAUAUGAAGAACCUAAUAAUUAUUAAAUAGAUAAGGUAUAAUAUAAGUAUCAUAAUAAUUAGGAAAUAAACUAUAUCAAAAGGGAACGAAAAGAUAUGCAAUGUACUUAACUAUACCAUAACAUAUCAAAGAAUAACUAUAAGAAGAUAUCUAUUAUAUAUAGGAUUAAGUAUAUAUGUACACACACACACACUUAUAUAUACACACACACACACACACACACAUAUAUAUAUAUAUAUANNNNNNNNNNNNNNNNNNNNNNNNNNNNNNNNNNNNNNNNNNNNNNNNNNNNNNNNNNNNNNNNNNNNNNNNNNNNNNNNNNNNNNNNNNNNNNNNNNNNNNNNNNNNNNNNNNNNNNNNNNNNNNNNNNNNNNNNNNNNNNNNNNNNNNNNNNNNNNNNNNNNNNNNNNNNNNNNNNNNNNNNNNNNNNNNNNNNNNNNNNNNNNNNNNNNNNNNNNNNNNNNNNNNNNNNNNNNNNNNNNNNNNNNNNNNNNNNNUAUAUAUAUAUAUAAUGAAAGAGAAACAAAUUAAAGGAAAAAUAAAGGAAAGAAUAACAAAGAUUAAUAAUCAUACUUUAAAGGUUUAUAAAAGCAAGUUGUUAAAUGAGAGUAUUAUUCAUCCUUUAGAUGGAAUAUUAAGCUAAACCAGGACCUAUAAUCGUUAAUCUUAAGUGAUCGUUAAAUGUAUGUGUAGAUCUAUAUGGGGUUGACACCCCUACGUGCAGUUGCUAGCUACAACCCCAACGUGCAUAAUGUUAUAGUUUUGUGACUUCUGAUGAAGCGUCGUGGCAGAGAAAUAUCAAGUCAUAUAGAUCGAUUAUAGGAACUCAUUGUAACAUUGUUCACCAACCAUAAUAAAUUAAACUACCUAGAGGGAACGCCUUGAAAGUAGUCAAAGUGUGAAAAGAUAAGAAAAUGGAUAUAAAUAUAUAAAAGGAAAAGUUAUUAAAAAAAAUACGAAAAGACUAAUUUAUCCUAGGAAAAGAAGAUAUAAAUAAUAGAAACAUUUUAAAAAGAUGAUAAAACUAUUCUAAAACUAUAAAACCAUAAAACAUGUGAACUGACCAACAUUAUGUUAACGUUUUCAAAACCCAUGUAUUCUUAGGGAAAUGAGUUGCAGUGGAAGUAGAGUGUUGAAGGAAGUCGUCACCUGGCUGACGGAAGCUUUUAUUUAUUCUCCUAUUAUUUAGUUAUGAUUUAGGAAGUGUGCUUGGAUAUCAAACAAUGUAACCCCUUUAUUAAUAAUGAAUAAAAGAAGUAUUUGUGUUAUAUUUUUGUUACUGUUCAAUAUAUUUGCCUCCAGAUCCAACAUCCCUAACAUCACAUAACCCAUUGUUUCCGCCGCUGGUGGGGGCUGUAACAGUAUUUCCAUAGGAACUAUGACAAUAACCUAGGGCAUACACUCUAACUAGGUUUAACCCUUAAGCCUAAUAACUAAACGUAUUAUUAUUACUUACAAUAAUUAUAGACUACUUGCGGGAGAGGUGACUAGUUUGAGGUGUCUCUUGGCUUGUUGGAUUUUAGAACGGCUAGAUGCUAUAAUGGUCUUUCCCUAUGAUACUUCUCGCCUUACAAAUCCUUACUUGAUACUCUUGAAGUACAAAACAUAGAAUUAAUAAUCUACCAUUAAUAGAACAAUAAUUAGAUAUAGAGUGUUAUAUAUNCCUAGAAAAGCAAAGUAUAAACCAUAUUUUUGACCUAACAUUGAUAGUCUUGAAGUACAAAACAUAGAAUUAAUAAAAUACCCAUAAUAAAAAAAAUAAUCAGGUAUAGAGAUAUAUAUAUAUAUAAACUCUUAUAAAUAUAUCUAAAUAUCAUAAAGAAAAGCUAUAUAAAUUAUAACUCAAGAUUUUUGGUCAAAAACGAUACCUAGGGUUAGUACAAUAUAGUUUCUGUACCACAACUAGACCUAGAAUGUGCAACUAAGUUUUAUUACAGUUCGACGGAUGCACGCCUAAACCUAGAUAUUGUAGUUGACAAACUAAAUGCUUGAGGAUUUAUGGAUCAAUAGCCUAGUUUGUUUGGUCGAGAUUCUUGUAUUGGAAGAUUAGAUCGAGACCUGAUGCUUGAGGAUUCGACACCUAGCUUGGGUUUCGUUUUUGAGGAUGCCUAGAUUGAUGGUCUAGAGUUCUAUAUCCGACAUACCUAUGUAGAGAGAGUAUCAGGAGACCCGACACUAUUUGUUACUUAUUAUAAUUAAAUAUUAUGGCUAAUCGUUAUAAUGCCUAAAAUUAAAUUGGAAGAUUUUACCUGGUUGUUAUGCUGACCUAUUUCGUAGAAUAACCUAGUUUCUAGUCGUUAUGCUAGCAAAAUUUAAGGACAAACAUUGUAACUAGUUGUUACUCUGCCCUAAUAGCCUAUCAAUAUCAAAAAACAUAAUAAUUAGUUUAUGCAUAUGGUUAAACAUAUAUAUGUAUCAGGAUAAUCAUGGACUAAAACUAUAUUAAAGAAAAACUUAAGGAUAGGCAAUGUACUUAAUUGUACUCUGCCUUAAUAUCCUAUCAAAGAAUAUCAAGAAAGAGAUAAUGAAUAUAUAGAGUUAAGUAUGUAUACAUAUAUAUAUAUAUAUAAGAAAAAACUAAAGGAAAGAAUAAUAAAAAUAAAUAAUCAUACUUUAAAGGUUUAUUAAAGAACGUUGUUAAAUGAGACUAUUAUGCAUCCCUUAGCCUAUUAAUAUUCAGCUGCACCGGACAUAUAAUUGUCAACCUUAAGUGAGUGUUAAAGGUAUGUAUAGAUAUAUACAUGGUUGACAUCCCCACUGUGGUUGGAAGCUAUAACCCUAACAUGCAUAACUUUAUAGUCUUACGAUAUCUGAUGAAGCGUCAUGGAAAGAAAAUAUCAACUCAUAUAGCUCGAUUAUAGGAACUGAUUCUAACAUUGUUCUCCAACCUUAAUAAAUCAAACUAUCUAGUGGGGAACACCUUUAAAGUAGUCAAAGUAUGAAACGAUAAGAAAAAGGGUAUAAAUCUAUAAAAUGAAAAGUUAUAGGAUGAAUACGAAAAUGCUAAAUUAUCCAAGGAAAAUAAGAUAUAAAGAAUAGAAAACUUUAAAAAGAUGAUAUAACUAUUCUAAAAGUAUAAAACCUUAAAAACGUAUGAAAUCACCAAAAUUACAUUGACAUUUUCCAAACCCAUGUAUUCUCAUGGAAAUGAGUUGUAGUGGAAGUAGAGUGUUGAAGGAAGUCGUCACCUGGUUGAUGGAAGCUUUUAUUUGUUCUCUUAUUGUUUAGUUAUGAUUAGGAAGUGUGUUUGGAUAUCAAACAAUGUAACCCCUUUAUUAAUAAUGAAUAAAAUAAGUAUUUUUGUUAUAUUUUUGUCUAUUGUUCAAUAUACUUGUCUUCAAAUCCAACAUCCCUAACAUCGCACAACCCAAUGUUUUCCCGACAGACCGGGGGUAUGACAGAUCUGAUUUUUGGAUCUAUUGAGGAUCAAAAUUGUUGCCUCCUUUGUCCCUUUUAAUGUUGUUUAAGGAUCCACAAAACCUAUCAGUGGUAUCAAAGCGGUCCGUACACAUCUAUUGCACUUUAGUUUUUCCGUUCUUGUAGGUUUAAUUGAUUUUUCAUGCUUUAAUCCGAUCUAGUUUCUGAAUGUUAAAUAGUUUUAAAUGUGUUUUUGAUACUGAACUGUUUUGAAAAAUCGAUUUUGUACGAAUCUGUUCUAUUGUCACGCCAUGGGAAUUUCACCUCCACGACGUGGAAAUCUGAUUAGAAAACACGUUUUUGUGUCGCACCACAAUGUAGUAGCUUAUGUGCCACGAUGUGGUGAUCCUUUUGCCACGACAUGGUAGCUUCUUUGCCACAGUGUGGUGACGCUUUUCACAGAUUUUGUUUCAAAUAAAAUAUAUUUGUUGGACANGAUAUUAAAUACUUUUAGAAACUUAUCAAACCUUUUUAAACUGUUUUUCAACCUCUUAAAUAUAUAUAUAUAUAUAUAUAUAUAUAUAUUUGUGUCCUUGCAUGUUCUAAACGCAUUGUUAGUCUCACCACGAAUAGGCUCACCUACUCUAAAUGUUAAGGUUUAUGGAGGCCUCUUUGAUUCCUAAUGAGUUCAGAAGUGGCAUUAUUUCUUGCCACCCUCACCGCUAUCUUGUGCUUUGUGAGUAGGGUUAACAAAAAGGGUUUGAUAGGACACUUGUCUUGUUAAAAAUAUUUACAUUAUGAAUAUUAAAAUAAAUACCGUUUUAUAUAAAAAUAUGAAUCUUAUGCUUCCCAUGGAAAUUACACCUUGUUGUGUUUUCUUUUUGGCGUUAUGUAUUGGUGUUUUACCAACACGUCAAAUGAUAAUUCUUGAAGUAAGAUAUAUGGUAUCCGUGAUUAUCAUGCGUUACUUUUAGUCGAAUAUCAUGUAGCUUCUCAUGGUCAAUUCACCAUUUGGAUUCAUGAUUCUUGGAUAAUCUAGUCAUGAAUGUUAAAUGAGGAUAAGAAUAGAUUAACAUGCUCUUGAUACAAUAUCAAUAAAUCUUGAAAUACCCAGGAAUCAUAUAAAGAUUGAUAUUGACAAUUGUUUGUCUGCUGAAAUAGCUUCUUGGUGUGAUUUUUGGCUAAUCCACAUCACAUCAUGAAGUGAAAUAUGGAUCCAUCCCUUAGUUGAAAUAAUUUGAUAAUUGGGUAAUUAUCCUUUAAGGAUAAAUAAAACAAACUAGGAUGAAACUUUAAUUGAAUGAUGUCUAAAAAGUAUCCAAUAAAAGUUAACUACUAUAAAAUCCUCUAAAAGGAAAAGCUAUAAGGAUUGAUCAAUCUUGUUCGUGCUUUGAGAAUAGUUCUCUUAAGAUGAAAAGAAAGAUCAUACAUUUAGUUGUAGGAAAGAGCAAGUAUCAAAUGCACUUAGUACAUCCAUAACAUUGAUGCUACGUGGAAUUCCACACAAUUAGGAGUCAAUUAUGGAAACAUAAUGAACUUGUUAACAUAUGCAUAUAAUCAGGUGAUUUUGACUUGAAAUGAGCAACUUGGAAAGAUCCAUCUUAGCAAAUUUUAUGUGUUCAUAUUGAAUUAAUAUGGAAUUUCAUCAUGUUGGGAGAUGACUAGGGUAACAUAGCCAAUUAUUGCAUAUUAUCAGAUGAUUCUGAUAUGAGAGAUUUGGAAAGAUCCAUUAUGGAACUACAUUGGGUGUUGAGUUCCUUUAGAAUUAACAUGGAAAAGUAGAGGGACUACAAACUUCAAAAGAAAUGAGUACAUUGAUAAGAUUGAAGACUUGUGGAAUUCAAUGUAUUAGAAAUUGUCUAAGAUCAGGUGAUUUUGACUCAACAAGAACAACUUGGAAAGAUCUACUAUUGAGAACGUUUUUUUCAAUUUAGAUGGAUAAGCAUAGAACUCAAAGCAUAAAAUGCUCUUAUGGUUAGAUAUCAUGAAAGAAGUGUCAAGAAGAAGAAAGUAAAUUAUCCAUAGGCAAAGAGGAUGAUUAAAGUUGGUAUACCCAAUCACAACAUCAAAUUGAAAGUAGGUAGGCCCAUUAUAAGACGUGUUCUGAUAGGCCAAAUUGAUUACGAAGGAAAAGGAUUAAGAAAAGCACAAAUUCCUAAAGUAUCUAAUGUAAAAUGAAACUUAGAGAAGACUUGAUUGAUCAUCGAUUAUGAGGCCCCAUAACUAUUUUAAAGAUUAAGAGUUAACGUGUUCUUCCAAGUGUUUAGUCUUUAAUCAAAAUAAUGAAUCCAUAAUACCAUUAGAAGAUUACUUCAAAUCCUCUAGUGUUUCACUAAAGGAUGAGUACUUACAUUUUCAAGAAUAUGCAGUGACCAAAAGGAUGUAAUAGAUUAUAACAUAUAGAAGUGAUUAUUAUCAAGGAUAUCAAAUCGAGUCCCUUUAUUAUCCUUAAGAUCAUAAAAUGAAUUAUUUCUUAAAUGUUAAUUCAGUGGUCUGAUGAUUGAAAUUGUUUAUAUAUUGUUUCAUAAGAUAGUUAUAGCUUAUUUAAAUAUAGAACAUUUCAUAUGUUUUAUUUUUUUAAAACUAUGUCAAUAAAUCCUUAAACUAGUAUAGCAACAUAGUUCAAUGGAGAUUCAUUGGUUGGAUGAAAUGCUUGUAUGGAGGCAUCCUCUUGGACAUAUGAAUUAGAGCUGGAUUACCAAAUAUCUAGUUAGAUCAGGUUUUUGAAAUCAUUUGAUCCUAAGUCUUAUGAUAAAUGCAAAUUUUAAUUAUCAAGAAUGAUACUAACACCAUCUAGUGGUAUAUUAUCUGUUGGAAUUAGUUUACACUAAUUUGUCAUUAAGAUUAACCACAAUGCAUGUUGAUCUAAAAUGUUUAGAUCAUUGUCUUGAAUAUGUGAAUGAGAAGUGCAUCACUAAAUAUUAAUUUGGAUAAUAUUUUGGAUGUAAUUAGACCCACAAGUCUUUUGAUUGAUACAUAUCUCAUAAUAUUAAUAAAAAUGAUGAAUAAAUCAAAUUAUGAUGUUAUCAUUGGUUGGAAUAAUUUCAUGCUAAUUGUUCGCUCAGAUUGGUUACAAAACGAAGUUCAGAGUCAUCUGGGCAAAUGAUAAGAAACUUAGGAUAAUGAGAAUCUUGAUCGAAAGUUUACGAUUAUCAAUUGCAAUUAUGAAACCGUUUGACAAAUCAUCUCAAACCAAGUAUUUCCAUAAGCAAUACAAUUGGAUAGAAAAACAAAUCAUUGUUUGAUUUGUAAUUGAUGAAUCAGAUUGUGCUUACAAGUAAUUCAUGGAAUGUACCAAGAAUAAGUGUUACAAGAGUCCUUCAUCUUGUACAACGUAAUAAAAUUCUUACCAAACACUCCGUGAGAUAGGUUACUCCGUUGGACAUCCGAACUAUGUUUUUGGAAUCCUGCCGAGAACAAUGUAUUUGUUGCUCUAAGGGCAGUCUUUCGAAAGAGAGAGCUGAUAUCCAAAAUAACUAGUGGAAGCCACAUUAAUCUUGAUAAGACUCAAGAAUUAAUUAACAAAGAGCAUAAAUAAAAACACUAGCACUUAAUUAGAGGUUAAAAACUAUUAAGGAAAGUGACAUCCCUCUACCUCUUCCACAUAGAUCUAGUAGAAGACAUUAUUGACCAUGUUGUCUUCGUGUUACAUGAGAACCGAGUAACAGAUAGAUUGAAAUAAGAGUCUAUCGACUAUCGGAAGCUAUGGAAGAUCAAAUAAGUCAAAAUUAGAGGAAGUUUUGAGGAAUGAAAUUUGGUCCAUGUAUGUUUAAAAUUUGAAUUGAUCCAAGUUGGUGUUAAAACUAUAUAGUGUUUUUGGGUCUUCAAAAGAUGACAAACAUGAACAUGAACACACAUAUAUUUAAACCAAGAUGGGUUGUGAAGCAUAUGUAGGCUUGAGAAGUCCAUUGAUGGAUUCUAACAAGCAUCUCAUGAUUGGAUUGUUUGCUUAAAUGAGAAAUUCAAAAGUUUAACUACGAGAAACAAAAGAUAUUCCAUAUAAAUGUCGAAGCUAGUGGGAGCAAUGUUAUCCCUUCUAUUGAAAUAGGAAACGAUGUCCUAACUUUGCUAAGUGUAAAAGAGUUAUAUACCUUAGGAAUUGUUUCGUUAUUAAGCACAAGGGAGGACCAAGAAAGUAUACUUGGAGGCUAUGGAGAUAGAUCUAAGUGAAUCAUUGAUUCAAGCCAAACCACUAAGAAUCUCGAGGAAACUCAUUGUAGAUUUCUUAAAGAAUUCGUGUUACUAAAUCUAUCGACUUGUAUCCUUAUGCAUGACAAGUCGUAUAAAAUUAUUUUAUAUAUUAUCAAAUAAUUAAGAAUCAAGAAUAUUCUUUGGAAUCCUAAAACGAAGAAAGAGAUAACUGUGCUAGUAUGUAAGAAAUCAAUAAAAGAGUUAUAGUGAUGGUGAGUUGCUUACUAAUAGAGACGUUUUCGUUUAGCAGCCGAAUUUCAUGCUCUUAUCAAUAAAUUAUUAGCUUGGAAGAGUAAAAAGUAAUACACCUAAGUGGAUUUGAUAACAAGCUUAGAGUAUAUUGCAGUUAGUUAAAUUGCAAAGACAAAAAAUCUGACAAAAAGAAAUUCAUUAGUGACCCCAGUGUUGUAUUCAAACUUUGAUAGUUCUCUUAAAUUUUCUUGUGACUAAAAGGUGAUUUUACCUUGAGUAUAGAUCCCAUGUCACAUAAGAUUACAUGGUAAAUACUCAGUAAGUGUCUUCACCAUUAUGAGGACACCAUAGUCAACUAAAGAUAAUCUUCUUUAAAGUCACUAAUCAAUGUUAAUAGUCACAUAAAGAUCUAAUGUUAUUAGACGUGCAUGCAUAUUAACUUGAGCACUUUAGUUUUAGUUUGUUUUAAUUUAGGAACUGAUGCAGUUGUGGUGUCUACUUGAUCUGGAGAUUAUUAAGUGGAUAACUUAAUAUUUGAUAGAGUUCGGUUAUUUUACUUAGGAUAUCAAUGUGUUUCAACUUCUGGAUGUUUAGAACCACUUCCAGAAUAUUUAUAUAUUCAAACUUCUAUAGUUGGUCCUACUUCUAGAAGAAAGUAGUGAUUUAAUAUUGUUAUGGAUCAUUGGUAGAUUGUUCAUAGGGUGAACAUAGCAAAGUUUCGACCAAUACUCAUGAGUACGUUAAAUAUAGAUUAUAAGGUAUUGGAGUAACCCGCACUUAGAGAUUACUUCAUGAAUUUUGUCACAAGUAAUUCUAAUAUUAUAUUAUAAAAUAUUCUUCAAAUGGUGAUGCAUGAUAUUUUCUUCUACAAUCUGUUGUAUCUUGAAAGUUUAAUAUUGACUAUAUCGAUGUCUCACAUUCAUAAAAAUAUCUUGAAGAAACAAAGGAAUAUUUGAUCACUCUACUUAUCACAACUUUAUGUUAUAAGUAUGGCGUAUACAUUUAUUGUAUACUCUCUACUUAUUACUAUUAAAUAUUAGACCAUAUAGUGUUGGUAACUUGUGCAAGUGGGAGUGAUGGAGAAUGGUGCCCAUAGUCCCAACACAAUUAGAGUAGUUGGUAAUAUUAUUAUUAAUAGUAUGUUCCUUUUGGUUUACACGCAAGGACAUUAAUAAGCAAUAAACGACAAUGGGAAAAUUAUAGGGUCUUGAUUUGUUAAUUAAUUAUAUGAAAUCUAGAAGUUCUGGUAUAUUCUGGAAGAUAAAAGAGUUUGAUUAAGCAGUUAGAUAAUUACCAUUUAUAUGGAUAAUUAUUAGUUGCAUGAAAAUUAUCUUUUAAGGUUUUCUAUCAUUCCCUAUAAAUAGAGAGGCAUUAUGGACGAAAUUUAUAAUGAGUUUUACACAAAACCCUAAGAGAAAUUAGGUCCUACCCCCUCUUUCCCGAAACCCACAAAUCACGAUGCCACAUUCUGGUGGCAUCUAUGUCACGACGUGAAACUUAUAGUUCGAACAGAUUCAGAUUUAUGAAGCCUCGUCAUGGUGUUCGUUUCUUAGGUUAUUAUCAAGUUUUGAUGAUAUGAUUUCCUUGGGUGCGACUAAGAAAGAGGAGUUCUACGUUGGUCUCUUAGCGGUCAUCAAUCAAUUGAAGAUCUACAAGGGUUUUGAAAAACCCUAAAAGGUAUGUUUUUCUUGAAUAAUCAAGUUGCUUUAGAUAGGUUGUAUAGAGAUCCGAUUUUUUGACCUAUUGUGUAUUAAAAUUGUUGCUUCUGAUGUCCCUUUAAUUUUGUUUAAGGAUCCUUAAAACACAUCAAAGUCACUAUAUAGUAAAGAUGAAUUACAACCAAAAUAUCUAAUACCAAUAUAGAAAUUUACAACAUAUGAAAAUCAUGGAGUCAUAUGUAACAACUGACUUUGUAACACAAAGGACACCGAAUUUAUGCAACUCUUAAAUACCAAAACAUGGUUUACAAUGAUAUUAAGCAGUUGGAUACAAGUAGUUACCAUUAAGGAUUACAAUGAUGCUCUGAGUCAGGCACUACUAACUUCAUACUUCUCUUCCGUCUAGUUGUACCUUAACACAAGAUAUAUAAUAGUUAGAUAGCUAUGUUCAUCAACAUAACGAUAGUUCAACAUAGUCUCUAAGUACCCUUUCAUCAUAACUACUAAAAUGGUCAUCCCCCAUCAAGUAGUAGUAUUUCCAUUAAAAUAGUAACCCUAGUCAACACUCGACAAGUGAUGUCACAACUACCACAUCUAUCACAACAGUCAUCAUAUGACUGGUGAUACCAAACUACAACAUCUAUCACAACAAUCCACAUCUCACUAGUAAUACUACAACUACCAUAUCUAUCACAAAAAUUCACAUCCGACUAGUGAUACUAUACCUUCACUAUCUAUCAAAACAACCCAAUUUGACUAGUGUUAUCACAAUUACCACAUCUAUCAUCACAGUCAACAUCUGACUAGUGAUACUGUAAUUACUAAAUCUAUUACAACAGUUAACCUUUGACUAGUGAUACUACGACUACCAGAUCUUGUAUACUCUCUAAUUAAUGUGUUACAUUCUUACUACGUACUUUGUCUUACGAAUUAUCUAUAUGCCACAAGUAAAUAAUACAUAUAGCUACCAUCGAACCAAUUGCAUAUCCAUAAUCCCUAAUAUUGGUAGAUGUUCCUAACUAAUCUCCUAAUGGGUAUUUUUUAACAUUUGUACUAAAUGUCAUAAGGAUAGACCAUCCACCUAUUUCUUAUUCAUCUGUCUUAGCAUCGAAUGCUACGAUCUAGUCUAUUUAUCAUCUUAAAUCUCAAAAAUCAUCAUUUAGCAAAGAUAGAUGUCAAUUAUAUUGUUAGUUUUGGCACCCUACAGUCUAUUAGGUUGUAGUAUGUUAAACACCAUUGUCUAUUAUUCUCGCAUUAAGUAGAUAUAUCUAUCUGAUGCUUCAAGUUCUUUAGUAACUCCCAGACUUAUUGUAACAUAAUUACACCUCAUUGAUAUCAUCUGGCACCAACAUGCAAUCAUCCCUUUUUAUGCUUAUUUUAGACACAUACAAUUAAUUUCUUAUUCAUCCUUAAUAAGAUUUACUAGGGAUUAGUAAUAAGUGAUACCUUUAAAUAUCCAUAAGGUCUACUAAAAGAUAUUAGCAUACAAACACAUGUUUACCUUACAAGAUCGAUACGGUUCGUUAUAAUACUUUCAACAUCCCUAAGUAUCUAGAUGUAUCACUUGCAACAUCCAUAAAGUGUCUCGGCAUACCCCUUGCAACAUCCACAAGUGUCUCCAUAUAUGUUAUUGGCUCUUUAGUCAUAUACUUUUGGGUAAUAAUCUUCAAUUGUUAUAUUUAAAGAUAAAAGGUACUAAAAAUGAUUUGAAUUUGAUAAUUAUAGGUAAUUUCAUAGCUUGGAGUAAAAGGAAGAAAUUAGAACUUACUAGUAUCUAAUAAGGACUGAAAAAUGAAAACAACCAGAAAAUACACAGGAGCAUGCCAUGCCUUUUCUACCUACGUGUCAUAAAGAGAUUAUGAUAACGAGAAGAUUGAGAUCGACUCAGAUAUGUAGUAGACUUCACGACCUGACAUUAAAAGGAUUAUGACGCUACAUCACAGAAUCAAUAAAUAUGUAAUUUCACAACCCUAAUUUGGUGUGAAACCACGGGAAACCUUUGAUAUGAAGAUAGAAGACGUCUAAAACCCUUUUUGGUCGAUUUGAAGGCUGACGAACAUGAUAAGAGAAUUGUUUCGAAGAUCGAAGCUUAGAAAGUUAUUUAAUCAUUUGGGUUGUCUUGUACAUCAUGUUUAGCAAUACCUUAAUGAUUAUAUUUUGUCUAUUAGUAGAGAUCAAGGGUUAAAAAUCUUUUAUUUCUGCUUAGAUGUACAUGAUUCCUAAAUACCCUUGCUGGAUUUUAAUUAUCUACAAUUGAGAUUAAUGUAGUUUAGAAUACCACUCUACCAAUAUUAACUUGCAUCUUAAUUAGUUUAUGAAGAUAAACUAUUAGGACUAGUGAUGUACAAAAUCCUAGGGCUAGAUAAUAUAAUUUUUAACUUGAAUAUGUAAGAAAGUACUAGAUAUCCAUGCUAGGCUAGAUUAAUUAAUUCAUUAUUCGAAUAUUGAAUUGAUUAUUUAGUUAGCUAAUUGCAUGGCCAUUGUGUUAGUUGCUUUAUAAUUAUUGGUAUUAGUUCAUAAAAUCAAGAUAACUAGUCAUUAAAACAAUUGGUAAUCAACUUUUCAAUUCAUUGAACUCGAAUAAAUCAACCAUAGGAAAAAGGUGGAUUCAGAAUCUAAGUGGAAGUAAUUUAAAUCGAUCGUCUAAAUUAUGUUCUUUGCAUUUCUUUGAUUUAGUUUGGUUAUAAAUCAAAUUUAAUUUAAGUAAACAAAUACCCCUUUUACUUUUAUGUUUAUAGUUUAAUUAUUUUCUUUAUUAUCUAAACUAAAUCAUGCAUAUUCCCCUUGUGUUCGACACCCUUACUUAUCAAAAAUAUACUACUACAUGAUGUUAAAACAUGAAAAGUGAACCUCUAUCAAUCACAAGUAAUAAAGAUCCAAAGUCAGCAGAUUCCGAGAUUGACGAAGUCCGAGAUAGAGAUGAAGAUCAUUUCGAGAUGCAGUGAAGAUCCGAGAUUAGUUGUCUGAUUCAAACAUUUAAUGUUUCUUGUCUUAUUAGUGAUGUAAUGUUUCAUAGGACUUUUGCUUUUUGUAUCUUUUAGAUAAUAAGUUGUCAGUGAUUGAUUAUUAACCAGUCCUAGGAAUGUUUCUAAGUAGUAUGAUGUUCCUCCUUAGUCUAUUUAAGGAGUGUUUUUAAUGACAAGAAACAUAUGUAUUGUUACUCCAAAGAUAGAAAAAAACUCUCUUUAAUUCUUUUUCACUUUUCUCUCAAGUUAAGAUCUUUCAUAACAUUCUUCUUGUUCAUUAAAUGUAUUUACAUUAAUUAUAAUCCUAAUUUACUUCAUUUAAUAUUAAGUACUUUGUUGAAUGUUUCAUUAAUGUCUUGAUUGGUAUUACCAGACUCGACUGAAACCUUUAAUUAAGAGUAGACAUUGAUCUUAAAUAUUAACUCAAGGUUUGAGUUUUCAAACCUUGUCCUUGCGCAUUGAUUAUUGUACUCACAAUUGGUAUCAAAGCUUGAAUGGUUGUCCAUUGAAUCCAUAAGAACAUAUUAUAGUUGAUUUGAAAUUACAAUGGUAUUUUAAUCAUUUCUCUGUUCAGGAUAAAAGUUCUUCUAUAUACCGCUUCUGCUCUAAUAUCGUAACUUCAAUGGAUGCUUCUAAUUUUUAACAAAUGUAAUCAAUGCAAAUAGAAAAUAGUGUGGGUUACCCUUCUCUUGUCCCAUUGCUAGUUGUUGAAGAGUAUGAUCACUAGAAAGUCAGAACGGAAAGGUUCUUACUUGGUAUGGAAAAAGGUGACGUUAUCUGGAGAUUCGUAAAACAAGGUCCACAUGCUCAAGUAAGACAAACCAUGAGAGACGCUGCUGCAACUCUCAUGGGACAGGAAGAACUGCGUCAAGCACCUCUCAUGUUCUGAAAUGGUUUUCGGUGUUCCUCCUUCUCUCUUUGACCAUAUUAAGUUGUGCAAAUCUGCUAAAAAUAUUUGGGACACACUCCAAGACAUGUUCGAGGGAUCAGAAAACAUGAAGGAUAAACAUUUGACUUCCAUCGUUAACGAGUUCGAUACUUUCACCACAACUCCUGGUGAAUGAGUUGUCUUGGCCUUUAACAUAUAUUGAAUAGUCGUGAACAACAUGACGACUCUUGGGAUUGUCCGAACUCCACUAUAAUACAAUGUCAAAUUCAUCAAUAGUCUCAGUAAAGGAUGGGGAAACGUGGAAUCGUGUCUUCAGAGUAAUGGAUCUUUGAAGAAGUUGAAGCUUUACCAGCUGUUUGACGAACUUCAAGGUCACGAAUCAAAUGUUUCACAAACUUUGAGAGAACUCUUAGGAGGUUAUCUUGCUCUUGUUAGUUCUUUCAAUCCUAAUGUAUAGAAACCCUCUGUUUUGGAGCUAUUCUAAGCUGUUAUUCUAACUAUCCCAACUAUUUAACCCUCUCCACCUGCUUUACCUUCUCCUGCUAGUUCAAACUAUCAGUUUGAUGGAGACCUCGGCCCUGAAGCAAUGGAGUCCGAACUUCAUUUUCAACAAGAGUUUUCUUUACUUUCCAUGAAAAUAUAAGCGUCCUUUUAAUCCCACUCAUAAACCAUAUCACAACCAUUUCAAAUCUCCUCAUCAAAAUAAUCCCCAACCAUUUCCCAAACCUUUGGAAAAUCCACCUGCUUAUAAACCUAACAUCUCUACAUCAAAUCAUACCUCGGAAUCCCAUGAGACUCCGAAGUCAGACAAACCAAAGAUCGUUUGUCAAAAGUGUGGUCAUACAAAUCACUAUGUCAAAUAUUGCUUGGCUGAAGCACCACAAACACCCAAGAUCAAGGAACCUGCAUAUUAUGCAUGUCGAGCCUAAGAGAUGGCUGCUAGUGAGAAAGCAUUUAUUAUCACUGUGUCGAGAGAUGUGGAAGGAUAUUGAUCAUCUGGAAAUGAAGAUGAUGUGAGUACUGGUAGAAACAUGUGUCUUAUGGAAAGACAAAAUAACAAUCAAAUGUCAUGAUGGCUACUAGUCAUCUGGAUCAAAGGAAGAUUAUAAUGAUGUUGAACCGAACUACUGCUAUAUGGUGACCAACGACCCACCAGGUAGAAGCAUCGUUCAACAGGUAAAAUCAAUGAUCACUGUAAUAGUUUUGAUUUAUCUCUUUGUGAACCAUAUCUAACCCAUAUCCAAUUAGAUAUGAACAUCAUUUAUAAAGCCUAUGAGUAUGCGAUUGAAGCAUGUGAGAAGAUGGAGAGUGAAUUAAGUCGUCUUAGAUUACGUUUUGAGGAUAAGAAGCUUAAGAUAGAUUCUUUAGAACAUGAACUUGUAUGUCAAAAGAUGAAUGUAUCAUUCUUAAGGACAAAUGUGAAAUCACUUUUUCUAAAAGAAAUGUUUUUAAUUUUUGAUAACAAACGUCUCAAUGCCAAAAUAGAUGCUUUCCAUAAUGCCAUAGACAUUCUUGAAGCAAAUGAACGGAUGACUCAUAAUUUUCGUCAUCCUUGGUCUAAAGCACCUGCUGUCGGAAGCGAGUUUUUUGAAACCUAUUGCUCGUCCCUUGAAGGAGUUACAAAAUCUAACUUUUAUGUGAGACAUUUUGAACCGCAAUCAUUAACAUACCCCUGUCUCACCAUUGUCAUCCUUUCUUGAGACUUCAUACCGAUUCUCAUCUUUGAUUCCUAAGUUUCAACCAAUAGUUGUAAAAAGUCCCGAUUCUACGAUUUUCCACCUCUAAUACCCCUGUACUUAAAUCAGACCUCAAAAAUUUUUCUUACCAUUUCCAAUACUAUAGUUCAAAUUCUGAACCACAAUCAUCCUCACAGUUGUGUUAUUGAAGAAAUCAUUCCGGAGACAACUGGAUCUGACUCAAAGAUAUCAAAUUUUGUCUGGGCAUCUUUUGAUAGUGAUGUUGAAGAAUAAAUUGUAGUUGAAUACUCGUCUGAUUCUUGUGUUUCUGAUUCUCAAGUGAUUUUAAAAACCACCUUAGUGCCAAUCAAACCCAAGUUUAACAACUCAUCUGCUGGUCAAACUUCCAAGUCAUCAUCUGACUCCAAGAAGAAACCUUCAUUAAAUAGAAAAGAUGUCAUCAAUCCUAUGAUAGAAGACAAAAAUGCACUAAAAAAGGAAAAUAGGUGAAGACAAGACUCCAGGUUCAUUGGGAAUCCUAAAAAGAAAGCAUCUCUAACUAUCAGCCCGACCACUAGGAGCCAUAACACAUUUACGCCUGUUAAGAUUCAUAAAAGGCCACCCAUUCCUCCUAGUUAAGUUGUAACACCGUAAAUUUUCAACAAAAUUUUCAUUUAAAAUUGCAUACUUUUCAUAACAUAUUGUAUAAAAAUCUCGUUUAUUCAAUUUAUAAAGUGCAACUCCAUUAAUAAUCCAGGAUCCUCAUAACUCUUUCUCUCGUGUAUACAAUCAAGCCGGUGCCGUCCCGCGAUCCUGAGAAACCUGAAACACAUAAUACAUACACGGUAAGCACAAGGCUUAGUGAUUUCCCUAAAAUACCACAUACAACAAAUGCGCCACUCAAGGCCAUACUCUGUAAGACCCUCCGGUCAAUGUAUCUCAGCGGGACCCUCCAGUCCCAUAGCUCGUUGGACCCUCUGGUCUGGUGUAAUGUGUUGUGCCCUCCGGUCCAGUCUGGUUGAGGAACCUCCGGUCCUCAUAAAUCAUUGGAUCCUAUGGUCCGGUCUGUAAAGCUCCACAUGGCAUAAAUCACAAAGAAAUAAUGCACCACAUAAAACAUAAGGCAUGAUAACAUAAUACUCAAUGUAAGCACAUAAGACCUUCCGGUCACACAUAACUACCACUCAAGGUAAAGUAUAGUGAGUAGACUCACCUGACAAGCACCAAGUAAAGACCUCGCUCCCGAAUUUCGAACUAGCCUCUGCCUAACACAAGGAAUAAAUAUCUUUAAGUGAUACUCUAAUCACAACUCUAAUGACCGAAGGCUAUUCUUUCUCUCAUUAACUCUUUUGAAGUGGAUAAAAGACCAUUUACCCCUCCAUGGUCUCUACUACUCAUGUUGAGCAAAACCCCAAAGUCAAUAGAAGUCAAACUCGAGUCAACAGUCCAUGUUUGACCCGACUCACCGAGUAUACCCUUGCAACUCGUCGAUUCCAAUUAUUUUCCUUAGAAGUCUCGUGACUAUCCAGCUCAGCUCGUCGAGUUGACCCCCAAUUCGUCGAUCUAUCGCAUGAUUCAGCUCUUCGGGACAAACCCUAACCAACUCGUCGAGUUGGCUCAUUGACUCGGCGAGUUCAUUCAGACCAAAUGUUCAUUCAGACGAUUUCAAUCAGAUCUAUCACUCCAAACACUAGAUCUAUCAUCCCAAGGCUCAAUAAUCAUGUAAAGCUUCGAUCUUUACGUAUAUAUAGGAGGUUAUUGCUCCAAAACGCUAAUAUAUGUCUUUCAUGAAGGAUUUAACUCAUCAACCCUCAUUUGAAUGACUAAAUCUAGGACACCUAGACUCUAAGGAUCUUAGGAGGUCCAGAUCUGAGGUUUCUAACCUCAAACCAUAUCUCAUUCAACUCAUAGAUUCAAAAGGAUGGAAGUUGUAACAACAUGAAUUUCCAAAACAAUUUUUUUCAUUUUUUAAAACAUAAUUUCAUUCAUAAAAAAAUCCAUUAUAUCACAUAUUAUCUCAAUAAACAACCCCAGAAUCUCAAGUACAUAAAUCUUCAUCAGUGUCUACAGAUUAUGUCGGCGCCUUCCCGCGAUCCUCGCUAGUACCUGAAACACAUAUCACAUAACACGGUAAGCAUAAAUUCUUAGUCAGUUCCCCAUAUUACCACAUACAACACACACUCCACUCAAGGCUAUAUCACAGUACGACCCUCCGGUCGAUGUGUCUCAGCGGGACCUUGCAGCCCUGUAGCUCGUUGGACCCUCUGGUCCGGUUAUAGCUCGUUGGACCCUCCGGUCCGGUCUAAUUGAGGACCCUCUGGCCUCAUGAGUCGUUGGACCCUCUGAUCCGGUCUAUAUAACACAUAACAUACAUAUAGCACAAUGCACAUAAUCUCAAAGAUACACAUAACACAUAAGACCCUCCGGUCUGCACAUAGCUACCACUCUAGGUAAUGUAUAGUGAGAAGACUCACCUUGAUGAAGUCAGAAAAACUCUCGUGCUCGAAUAUCCUGAUCUCACCUCCCUCUAUCAACAGGAUAACAUUGUUGGGUUUUAGUAUAAUACCACAUCCUAUGGUGCACAUACAACCCUAAAUACCUUGGAUCUAUGUUUUCUCUAAUAUAUAUACAUAUAUGAAGUUUCCAAGAUAUUACCCUAUACUAGCAUACAAAUAUCAUAUACUUGGGUAAUAAAAUAGAUAGAAUACAUACCUUUUUUUUAUGUAACUUGUCUUCAUGAAGCUUGAGUGCCUAGUGCCCCAAGUGGGACACCUCAAAUGGUUCACACAAAACCAUGAACACUUGGAAUAACGUUAAGAAUAAGGAUACUUUGGUUCUCUCUAGUGAAAUUGGCCUUGCCCUUUUGUGUACACACACUAGUACCAAUUUCACCAACCAAGGACUUCUUUAUAUAGUGUGGAGAUUAGGGUUAAACCCUAAUACCCAUGACCUUUCAUUUCACAUGAUCCAUGGGUUAAACACUCCAUGGACUAUCCAUGAAAGCUUAGCCCAACCUAAAUGAACUUGGCCCAUCACCCACAUAUAUCUUAGAGUCCAUAUUUAAUUAGUUCCUUUUGAUCACUUAAUUAAUUAUAAAUUAAUUCUUGAUCAAUACUAAUUAAAUAAUAUGAUUAUAUAUUAAUAUAUUAGAACUUAUAAUAUAUUAAUAUAAAUCAUUAGUAUCCUUUUUCCUCAUCUUGUCUAUCCAAUUGUCCCGAUGCCAUGCAACCCAAAUGGACCAUGCCGGGUCGGGUCAAGUCUUACCAAUUAUAGUUAUGGACUUAGACAUUAAUCCAACAGUCUCCCACUUGGAUAAGUCUAAAACUAAUAUUGAGUAUGACUUCAAGAACCGACUGGCAAUCGUAGCUCUCAAAAGCUUCUGUCGAACUCUGACCUUGCCGAUGAACUCUGACCUUUGUCAAUGACUUGUCCAUUAGAUAAGGGAUCAUAUAUUCCUCCAUUCUAGAUAUCAUAUGGACUGAGACAUGGAUUAUAAUCAUUCUCUCUGUCCAUUUGUUGUUUCCCGAUUUUCGAUUUAUGAUGACUGACUAGUUGAACAAAUCAAAUCAGUCAUGGCUUUGCCAAGCACUCACAUGUGUCAUCAUUAAAUCAUCGAGGGGCCCUCAGAUAUCGCUUUUAUCCUGAAGGUAAAAGGAAUGGAUAAACUUCGACUCAUAUGGAUUGUUCUACUACUUGUUGAAUCAUACACAAAGGCACGUUUUAUAACAUCGAGUUACCAAUGCGUUUUCGUGCAAUCAAUGUACAACCAACUCAUAGUAACAACUCAUAUCUCUAGGUUUGAAGAAUAUAAGAUAUUAUCGUCUCAUGAUCACUCGUGAUAAAAUCCAUGAAGUGAUUCCAAUGAGCGUGGGUUGAAUCCAACACUCAGACCUUAUGAGCACUCAUGAGUGUUGUAGUACCACCUUGCCCAACAUCUUAGACCUCUACAAGCCCAACCCAUGACAGUCUUGAUUCAUAUCUACUUCCAACAUAUGACCGACGGUGGAUGGUUUGAAUAACUUUGUCAUUCAGGAAUAAGGACCUAGUUAUUCUGGAAGUCAAAACAUGCAAAAUGAAACACAAGAAUAAUUGAAUCUUAUAUGGUCUCAGAACUUAUCAAUAUAAAUAAAACACCUUUUAUUUAUCACCAUAUGAUUACACAUUAUUUAUUGCAUACUCUUUCAGCUAUCAACUUUAUUCUUGAAUUAAAACAAUAGUUGUCCCAUGCUCCAAACAUGUACGCUAUGUUUUCUAAACACUAGUCAUGCCAUACACCAAGUAUGCACACUAUGUUUGUCUAUGAUCUUUACUUUGUGAAAUAGAUCGAUUGAACAUAACUCCAAUGAUUCUCAUUUCACAAUCCAAAAUCCCAACCGCAAAUGCAAGAAUUCCAAAUUCAUGCCAUUUACCGAAAGCUGUUAGAUUCUAAACUUAUAUGCAUUGUGAUGGGUUUUAUACAAACAAUCCUAUGUGUACAUGCAACCCUAGCAUUGGAUCUAUGUUUUCACUAUUAGAUACAGAACAUUAUGAACACAUAAUAAAACCCUAAUCCUAGCAUAUGGAAUUCGAUAUUAACAUAUAAUUAGGUUUAUGAUAUUACCUUGAUUGUUAUGUAGCAAUAACAAUCCCAAUUCCUCCUUGAAUUGACUUUGGAAGGCUUAGAGUCACAAGUGUCACUCCUCUAAUGGCUUACAAACACCAUAAGCAAGUGGAGAAGGUAUAAAGAGAGAGGAGAGAGGUAGAAAUUCGUCCUUAGAUGCUCUAGGGAUCAAGUGCAUGAAAUCCUAAGGCCUUAGGGGUCUUUAUAUAGGGUUGGGAUUAGGGUUUCAGUCCUUAUCCUUAUCUAGUUACUUGCCCAUCAAGCAACCAUAAGAUAAGCCUUGAAAAUCCCUAUCUCUUGGACCUUGGACGAUUUUAAGGAUAUCCUUAUCCUUGAAUUCGUCCAUCCUUUAACAAGGAUAACCAUUGCCCUAUUUUGCAACUAUCACAUAAUUACAAUUCAGCCCCUCUAGUUUAAUUAAUUACAUUUGAUCACAAAAUUAAUUCUUAAUUAAUUAUUGACCAAUAUUAAUUAAACAAAUACGAUUUCUCCUUUAAUAUACUAUUCUUAUAACAUAUUAAUAAAUCAUAAUAACCUCUCUCUCUAUUUAUUUCUCCAAUCAAGUUGCUUUGGUGAAGGCAACCCAAAAGGACCAUGCACCAUCGGGUCAAGUACAUACCAAAAUAGUUAUGGACUUAGACACUAAUCCAACAGACUCCCACUUGGAUAAGUCUAACAACUAUUCUGCGUAUGACUUCAGAUCCCGAUCUGCAAUCGUAGCUUUCCAAAGCCGCUGUCAACUCUGAUCAUAUCAGAUACGCGUGUCCUUAGAUAAGGGAUCAUAUAUUCCUCCAUUCUAGAUAUCAUAUGAGAUAUGAUUUCAAAUCAUUCUCUUUGUACUAUAUCUCGAUUCCCGAUUUAUGACGACUGACUAAUUGAACAAAUCAAAUUAGCCCUAGCCCGGCCGAGCAUUUACGUUUGUCAUCACUAAAUCAUCGAGGGGCCCAAAGAUAUCGCUUUUAUCCUACUUUGGAUAAAAGGAACGGAUAAACUUUGAUACAAUGCUUGCUUGCACUCACUCACCGAAUCACACACAACAAUAUGUUUUAUAACACCAAGUUACUAGUGCGUUUACAUAUUAUCAAUGUGCAACCGAUUCGCAAGAUACAACUCACACAUCUCGGUUUCAAGAAUAUAAGAUGUUAUCGUCUCACCAAUCACUCGUGAUACAAUUCAUGGAGUGAUCCAAGUGAGCGUGGGUUUAAUCCAAUGCUCAAAUCAUAUUCAUAAGCACUCAUGAACGUUGCAGCAAACAUUUGCUUAUGUCUAAUACUCUUUAGACAAUCCACACACCAAUUCACGACAGUCUUCAUUCAUAUCUACUUCCAACAUAUGAACGACUGUGGCCCGUUCGAAUAAUUCGAUUAUUCUUAAUAAACUCAAUUAUUCUGGAAGUCAAAACAUGCAAAUGUGAAACACAAGAAUAAUACUAAUCCCAUAUGGCCUCAAACCUUUGAGUAUAAAUAAAACACCUUUUAUUUAUCACCAUAUUGAUUACUCAUUAUUUGUCGUUUCGGGUAAUCAACUUCUUACUUGAAUUACAACACUUGUCCCAUGCUCCUAGCAUGCACACAAUGUUUACCUAUGGUUCUUACUUUGUGAAAUAGAUCAAAUUGAACACAUUUCCAAUCAUUCUCAUUUCACAACUCCAAAUCCUUUUCAUAAGUGAAAGAAUAUCAAAUUCUUGCUACUUAUAGAAUAUGCUAGAUUCUAACAUUCUAUGCAACUUAUCCUUUCGUAAUGUCACUGCACCAAAGUCACAAAGACUAUUGCCAAUGAUAUUACAAAGUCCUCUAUCGGAGAUUGUUACAAGACAAUUCCAUAGAUGUGAUGUCUCUCACUCAAAGUACAUUCUUUGAACAUCCUUUUGCAUAGAAGUUUCUAAUCUAGUCAUAGAUUUCUCAAUAUUCAAUUCCCAAUAUGGACACACUUCCAUAUUUUCCAUAUGACAACUCAUUCUUAAUAGAAUCUUUUCUAUAAUAAUGUCGAUAUGGUCCAUUCAAUACCAUGCUUCCAACUACUCACAAGCAACCAAUCCUCGUCGAACUUUGGAUUGUCCUUUGAUAGUUGUUUAAUUAUUUUAGUCAAAACCGAUUCUAGUCCUUUUUCCCUCUAAAUGCGCUGGACAUUUGGAAAAUUUUAGAAUGGUCAAACAUUAAAGCAUUUGCAAUCGAUCCUAUACCCGAAGCGUAUGGGACACGACGCAUAAUGUUUUAUUUGCUAUGUUCUCAAAAUUCGAAUUGUGAAGAGGAAUGUCGUAAUCAUAAUCGAAAUUUUAAGAACACACUAUGUACCCUUGACUAAAUUUAUUAACAUUUCUCAACCUAAACCUUUAGAUUUGAAAUGAAGCAUAAUAUUCUCUCCCUUAAUUAUAGCAAAACAACUAUUCCUUCCUUACAACUUUGCAAAGAAUGACUCUUGUUUUCUAUUAAUAUUGCCAACUUGCAAUACGUGCCUUAAUAAUCAUACAAUCAUAACUUUUAUGCUCCCACUAUCAUGAUGAUUAUUAUAAGCAUAACACUUAUGCUCCCACUAGCUUCGACAUGUAUUCAUAAACAUCUUAACUUUCAGAAAAACAAUGCUUAUUGAAUUUCUUAAGUUCAUGUUUUUAAUAUUUAAUGUUUUUGAUAAUCCUUUAUCAAGGCUUUUUUGAACUUAUACACCUUUGCCUUAGAUAGUUCAUAUGUGUGUCUAAACAAUUAAGAUUAACUGCCAAACCUCACAACUCAAAUCAUGGAAAGGGAUACCGUAACCAU